UGAACAACAAUUAGUUUAAUAAUACGAAAAAAAGAAAAACCCUAAAAAAGUGUUUGAGAAUUGUUUUGUACACAAAUGACAAACACAUAUAUAUAUAUAUAUAGAAAACAGCGGGUGAGAUGAGAGCUUGAGGGGUGAAAAGAAGUCGAUGAGGUGCAAGCGUGUGGGUUCGUUCUACCAAACGUGCAAUUCGUGCCCUUUCUUUUAUUUCUUUCUUUUAAAAAAGAAAAAGAAAAAUGAUUUUGCAUUCCAAAAUGUGUCGGCCGAGUUUCGCGUCGUUUUCCCAAAAGGCCCUUUUCCACAUUUGCAUCCUCUCUUUUAAUUUGAAACGAAAGGGGUAUUUUUCCUUCACCAUAUGUCCCUUUCCCUUCUCUUUCCAUUUAAUUCACUUCAUCAAUCCAUAUAUAUCUUAUCCUCACACACACACAAAAAUUCAUUCUCAUUUUUUUUAAUUCUUAUUUCUUUCUAAUCUUUUUCUUAUUACCAAUCAUUACACUUUCAUUUCAAAACUUCUUUUUCUAGUAAUAUUUAUAUAUAUAUAUAUUUUGAGUAAAGUUAACCUGAAUUUCAAGGGUUCAAAUCACGAACAAUUUUAAUUAAUUUCAAAUAACGUGUAAUGAUUAAUAAUAUUACUCUAUUUUAUAAAUAAUUUAAAUAUUUUUUUUAUACUUUUGAAAAUGGGUCUUUUUAUUAUAUUUGGUAGGGUAAAUUACUAUUAAUCAAGUUGUUAAUAGUUUGUUAAUUCUGUUACUUUGUAAUGAUAAUGGAUAUGUAAAGCCCACUUCCCUCAUCAUUUAUAUUUAGCCACAUAAUUAGUUGAUGAGUUAUUUUAUUUAAUAGAAGAACUCAAAAUACUUUUUAAUAUAUAUAUAUAUAUAUAGUGUUGAUAGUAACACGAAUAAUUAAUUUGUCCGUUUCAUAGUUGUUAACGUAAUCCUAAUAUGAUGUGUAUAUAUAUAUGUUAGACAUGCCUUGAUUGAAUUGAUGUAAUGCAGUGAUUAGCCAAAUAAAUUAGAUAACAUUUUAUGUGUUAAAUUAAUAAGGCUAUAUGAUAAUUGUUCCAUGGAUAAUAAAGGAAUUAAGUUUUAGUUUUUAGUGAAAUUUAAUUUGGGUUUUUAGUAUUAAUAUUUGUGUUAAAUUUAUCUCUAAAGUUAUAAAAUAAUUUUUUUUAUUUAUUCCGAGUAGUAAUAAUAUUUUAUGUUAGAUAGACAAUUAGGAUGUUAUUUCUAUUUGAUAGUAAUAAUUGAUAAGUGAUUAAAAAAAAAAAGAUAAAUUGAUUUUCAUAUAUUUCCAAUUAUAUAUAUUUAGUUCUAAAAGUUAAUUUUAUAUUUGAGAAAUAAUUAUUUAAUUAACUAAAUAAUUAUGGUAAAUUAAUAUAUAUUUCUAUUAAUGUGAUUGUUAAAUAUAUAUGGUUGAUAUAUGUUUAUAUUUAAAGAAAACUCAAAACAAUGAUCAUAUUGGAUUCACUCUAAUCACUAAACAAGAAUCAUAUAUUAUCUAAUGCCUCAAAAAAUAACUUGAAAUGAUUUUUCUAAAAUCAAAUUUAGUUUAUAUCAAACCCACAUUUGAAGGAAAAAGUGAUUUUGAUAAUCUUAAAACCACUACCAAACAAACCCUAAAAUCUCCAGCCUUAUAAUUGAAGAACCAAAAACACAAAUUGGUCUUUGUUUUGAAAGGAAGGCAACUAUAUAAAAGACAAUUUAAAGGGCUAGAAAUUUAUUAAGAAUAAUUGAAUUAUAAAGAGAUGGAUUUCAACAGCUACAUUAUUAAUUUAUAUAUUAAGAGUGAGAGAAGAAAAACUUGGGUUGAAAGAAUAUUGAUUCUCAUUGUACAGUACCAUCAGACAAAUUAUAGCAUUAUGGUAUCAUAUUCAGCACAUUUUAUCCUCUUCCUCUCCUCUCCUCUCCUCUCCUCCACACACACACACAAACAUAGAUAUAUAUUUUUAAUCAUAUGAUUAUUACUAAUCAUUAGUGCUCUAACUAAAACAUUAAUUAUUAUAUUAAUUUUACUCAAAAAGAAUCUGCCCACUUGCCCCCCCUCCUUCCCCUUCCCCUUCACGUUAAGAAACCCUUUUCCAUUUAUCAUCUUAUUAUAUUAAUCAUCCUUCCCUUUCCAUAAAGAAAUUAACAAUAAUAACACUCUCAUCUACUUACCUUCCAAUUGCAGACACAACCAUUUUCUUAAUACACUCCAUGUCCAAUCACUCCAUGAUUAGUGUUAAUCAAACUCCAUAAUUUCACUUUUCCCCUCGCCUCUUUUUAGUUUGUGGGUACCUUAAUUAAUUAUUUUCACGCAACUGUAUACCUUCCAUUAUGACGUGUUACAUUCUAACCAAAAUUACAUAAUAUUUUAAUCAAUCCAAUUAUAUAGUUAAAAUAUAUUUUCAUUAGAAGAAUGGUUAUAUAUAGAAAAUUGUUAAAUUAGCACUUAAUUACAUGCCUUAAGUCUGUUUUUCAAAAAUAGUUUCUCUCAAGUAUUAACAAAUUUUCCAAACCGCAUAACAAUGAUAAAAUCAAUCACUCAUUACAAGAGUUACAAAAUCUUAAUAAUCUAGUUAAGUAGCCAUCAUGUUUGUUUGGACACAUGAUUGAUAAAUUUUUGUUUUCAUAUGCUUCAAUCCAACUAAAACAAUCUAUACAAUAGUUUGUUUGUUUGUUUUUUUUUUCCCUAAUUCUUUACUCAAUCUUAAAUUCUAAGACAAUCCAUAAACAAGUUAUGUUGUGUAUAAUAGUUUUAAUCUAUAAAAUGCCACAUUAGAGAUAAUAAUGACAAAUGAAAUAAUGUAAUGAUCCUAGAUUAUAGUUUUAACAUAAAUACGAAGGGAAUAAAUAAGUAAAUAAGUAAUGGGGAGACAAGAAAGCGUGAUGACAAUGUUGAAAUAGAAACAAAACUUUGAUAGCAAUUCUUUUAAAAGGAAGUGCUUUAAUUAGCAGCUACCUACCACCUCAUUUCCCUUUCUUUCUUUCUUUCUUUCUUUCUUUCUUUCCUUUUUCCCUCUCCAAAUAUACAUAUAUUUCUCUUCUUAUUUUUGGCGGUGUCCCUACCACCUCCAUGGGUGACACAAUCACCCCUUCGGAUUUCAUUGUCCCUUUCAUUUUCCUUUUCUCUAUAUUAUAUUUUCAUCACCAUAUAUUAAAAUUUAGUUUCAUCCCCCAUUCUCCAAAACCUCUCUUUACAUCUACUUUCCCACUCCUUCCCUAUAUUCUAAUCCCUUUCAAAAUUUUCCAAAAUCUAUCUCAAUAAAAGACAAUUACACAUGUCACACCCCUUCUAUAACAUGUCAUUAAAAAAACCCCAUCAAUAUUCUUAUAAAAUUGUCCAUCAUAUAUACUAUUACAUUAACAAUAAUGGGGGAGCUCCAGAAGAAAAAUAGAAUAGAAUAGAAUAGAAUAGAAUGUUGUUUUAAAAAAGAAUAUAAAAAGGGGAAAUGAGUAUAAAGAAAUAGGAAGUGUCGGUGGUGGUUAAAUUAGGGAAGGGGCGUAGGAAAGUGAUAUCAUCUCAACCACAAUAUGAUUGCCCAAUUUUUUUCUUUUUCUUUUUAAUUUCUAACAUAUUGAAGAUGAUUGACGAGGUUUUGUUUUCAGUUAUAUAACUUAUAAGAGAAAGUCAUAAUAAUAAUUAUUUUGUUUUUUUGGGACCCUUUUUCAUUAUUCCCCAUUUUCCCUUCUAUUUCCAUUUUGACCUUUCUAAAUUUCUCUCUAUAAACUCUCUAAUAUCUUUUUCCUUCCACCUUCCCCAAAUAUCAAUAUCAAUGCAUCCUAGUAUCAUCAUCAUAAUAAAAAUCAAUGCAAUCCCAUAUCUUUUACAAAUUUAUAAAUAAAACAUCAAAACACACGUUACACAAUUUUUCUUUUCGUAAUUUCUUCUUAUAAAUUCAAUAUUAUUAUUGUCAACGUUGUUGAUUAUAUAUCACCACCCCUAAAGUCAAUUAGAGAUUAUUCUUUGUCUCCAUUUUGUCGUCUUACAUUAAGAAUAUUUUAAAAAAAUUAUAGUAUAUAUAUCAUGUUGUGACUAAGUUAAUUAUUAUAUGAUUUUAAAUCAUCUAAUUCUCUAAAACUAUGUAAUUAAAUUGAGAUAAAAUAGUAUAUAACUUGGUGGUCAAUGGCUUCCGUAGCAUAGUGGUAGUGCGUUCGCUUCGUAAGCGAAAGGUCGCGAGUUCGAUCCUCGCCGGGAGCUUCUUUUUUUUUUUCUUUUUUUCUUUUUAAUAAUGAUUUGAAUGAUCAGGCUUGAAAAGGGAAUGAUUAUAUUUAGCUCUUGGGAGGCAAUCAAUAAUAAUUCUUUUUUUAUGUAUAUAAAAGUUCCCAAAAUUAGAAUUAAGCAUGGCAUGUUUGGAUAAUAAUAGUUGUGUGCUUCUUCAUUAGCCAAAUUAACAAAUGUUUUGACAUGCAUCACAUUUCUUAAUUAAUUGCGCACUCCAAUAAUAAUUCAGGAUUAGUAUGCCCCCAUCCUAUAUUUACAUAACUAAUUAAAUCCCUUUAAUGUUCUAAUUAGCCCUCUGCGACUGCUAAUUAUAUCAUUUAAUACCAAAAGACAUAUUAUCUUUUUUUGUUCCCAUGUGUGUUUAAAUAAACCAAUUUAAUGCAAAGAGUUUCAACUUUUAAAAACACCUAAAUUCAACGAUUUUAUUUUUGCAGAAGUUUACAAGAAUCUUGUUGAAUAAUAUUAUAUUCUGCAUGUUUUUAAUGGUAAAAUUUAUCUUUUUAACCUCAUAUUACAAAACAACAAAAAUAAUCAUCAAAUACCAUAAAUUUGUUCUACGUACCUUCUCUCAAUAAUUAUUCUUCGUUUAGUUAGAUGACCAUUCAAUUCUAUACCAAUUUGUUAGUGUUAUUUUCAAUCAAAUGUUGAAAGUAGCAAUUGACUCAAUUACACUACAAAUCUUUUCAAACGUAAGUGGUGGAAGUAUAUCAUAACCUCCUUGAAGUACAUUAUUUGCUAUCUCUUUCAUUGGAUGAUAAUAAAAUAAUUUGUGGGCAAAUAUAUAUUAGGAGGAGAGAAAGAAAAUAAUAUGAAAAGAAAGGGAUAUGAGAGUAGAGAAUAGGAAAGCAAUAAUAAAGGGUAUUUUCAUAAAUAGUAUAUAGAAGUAUAUGUCCCUCGAGGAAGAAAUUAGUUGGACCGACUUUCUUCUAUAUACUUUCCCCAAUAAUCCAAACCUUCAAUUCUUCUCUUUCUCUUCCCCUUUUUAAAUCAAUAUCAAAACACCCAAAUCUUCCCUCUAUAUACUUCCAUUCCCUAUCAUUAAAAGUUAAAAACAUCAAAAGUUUGUAGUAACUCAUUUAAUUAAGCAACUCAAUGCACGUAAACUUAAACAUAGAUCAACAAGAAAUAUAAAAAUAAUUAAAUGGAAAUUAAGUAUAUGUUCUAAAUAGAAUAACAAACAUAGGGGGGAAUGCUUUAAAACCCUACCUCACAAACUCUGAAGAAGUCAAGAAAAUUGUAGAGGAAGUUGAAAAGAAUGAUUUAAAAGAGAAUGAAGUUGAAGGCUUAGGAAAAGUAAAAUUAAUCUUAGAAAACAAUGCAUGCAUGGCAUUAAUUAUUUUUAAUUUCAUAUAUAGGAUGUGAUCACAACAAUAUUUGUGAGCCUUAAUUAGUUUAAUAAAUAUUUUCCUAUUUUGAAAUAUUGACUAACAAGAAGUUGACAAAACACGAUUAUAAUACAACUAGCUAGCCUCUCAUAUUUUAGACUUAUGCUUGAAGAUAAAACUUCAAAGUUCCAUUUAUUUAUAUAAUUUGUUGUUUGUUGUUGUUAGUAAUAAAUAUACAAAUUGAAUUUUGAAGAGUGCAUAAGAUACCAUAAUAAGUACACAUAUAUUUACAAUUAUUGUGUGCAUAAUUUAUUAAAUACUAAUCUACUUCAUGCAGAGACAAAAACGACUUAAUUGGCGUCAAUGGAAUGAUAGGUUUAUCCUUUAGGAAUUAAAAAAAGAAAAGAAAAGAAAAAGAAAAAGGAAUGAAGAUAGAUUAUAAAUUUUAAUAAGUUACCAAAAUUCUCUCUCCUUAUUAAUUAAUAAGAUGGUAGUGGAAGAUGUUGGGUAUUGACAACAAAUUAAAAUGUAAUGAAUGGUAUUUAUGAGUUGGGGAAAGAAAAUAAUAAAUAAAAAAAUAAAAAUAAAGAAGAAAGAAGAAGAAGAUAUUUUAUGUUGAUUGAAAAAAGGGAGUGGGGACUUAGGGCAAUUAAUAGCAUAUAUGCUCCAUAAAUUUCGUUGAAUGAAAUAGAAGUCUCAACAAACACACUUAAAGAACAUUGUUGCUCAUUGGCCCUCUAAAGUACACAUUUAUCCCUAUGAAAAUUAAAUAUAACCCAAUCCCACACACUUAGCAAAAUGGUUAAAAUCAAAAGUAUCCAACACUUGUUUUCUUUAUAAAGUAUCGAGAAAAUUAGUGGUGGGUUCUUUUGUGCAUGGAUUGAUCAUACUACAACUACGUAAACAUAAUUUUGAAGAUGAUGAAAACUUAGUUAGGGGUUAGGAUUAGUGAAUAGAAGAGUUUGAAUUAUACAUGAAGAAUGAAGAAUAGAAUCCACGUGUGUUGUGAAAUGUAAAUAUAAAAUAAAGUAUAAGGCACAGCUCAGGCAUUAGGUACAUGUCGUCGGGUACGGGCUCUGUACAACUGUGAGUGAAAGUGUCAACUCAACACUAAUUUUUUUCUUUCCUUUUCAUCUUUUUUUCAUAUAUAUAUAUAUAUAGUUUUCAACCCCUUCAUUUUCUUUUUUGGCUCUUUGACUACUCUUGUUGUGUUGUGUUGUGUUGUGUGUAUAUAUCUAUAAAGUUUUGGUCAAAAAACCAAACUGAUAAUAUGUAUCUGCCAGCUCAACAUUAUAUUUCUGCCUCUCUGCAUAUCAAAUUCAAAUUGUACAACCCAUUCAUUGUACCGUACACUUACCCAAUACAAAUGGGUUAAAUUACAGAACUGCACCUCUUAGUUUAGAACAAGUUUAAAUUCUGUCAUUGUGAUCUAAAUGUUGGAAUUUGUCGUAAUGGCUUUGUUUAAUACAGAAGAAGUACUGUUAUGAAAUAAUAGAGACUCUCUACCAAGCUUUUACUCAGAAUAUGAGAAAAAUCUACUUAUUUGCACAUCUCUCAAACUCUCAUGCAGUAGAAAUUUAUUCUCUUGAUUUGUGUGAUUUGUACUUUUUUUUUUUUCCAUAAGAAACUCAAGUCCACAGUGGAAAUAUAAAUGAUAGAAACUGAAGUGUAACCUAUCAGAAACUAAACAGCCUCAAAUGUGUGUAAAGUUAUUUUCUGUAAAAGUAAAAUUGUGGUAACUCCUAAAUAUAUGAGUUCUUGUCAUGUUUCGGAUGUAGAGAGAAGAGAUUAUGAACUGUAGCAGUAUCGUUAAGAAUAAUUUUUUUGAAAACCCAAUAAUUAUUUCUGCCUUGUGAAGAGAGUGUACUUACUGUUUUAGAACAAUCAUAUACAGUAGUGAGUGAUAUCUUUAGAGAAUUUUUUUAAAAAAAGUAUGUUAGCUAGUGAAUAUAAAUUAGUUUGAAGCGACAUGUAUUAACUCAUAAGAAGACAAUAAAGUGUGAGCUAAAUGUAGCGAUAAGACAUAUGAAGUGAGAUGCCUUAAAUCAAGGAUCCAAAACCAAGAGGGUUAAAAGUUGAGUUAAUAAAGAGAGGAAAAGUGUGUAAUAGGUAGUGAUUAACUAUAUGGAAGAAAAUUAAAAUGGAGUAAAAAUAAAAAGAGAUAAAGUUUGGUUAAAGAACAAAGAUAAAAGAGCAAAGAGAGUAGAGGGAAAAAAAGGGGUAACAAAAUUUGAAAGAGAUAUUUAAAGAUUGGGGAUGGGGGACCAAAUAGGAUCUAAGAUGCUAUUGAGUUUGAGUACAAUAUAUAUAGCUAAGCACACCCAACCCCAUAUCUCUCUCAUUUAUUAUGAUAUGUAUGACUACUCCAUUAUUUGGUCUUUUCCUUUUGACGGUGCAAACACUUUCCACACUACCAAACUCAACAGUUUUUUCACAUUUUCCCUUACUGCCUUCCUCCAUACUUCUAUGCUUCAUAUCAAUACUCAUACAUCUCUUCAAUAAUUUGUUUAUAAAACAUACCCAAACAAAAAAUAUCAAUCUAGUUAAUUUAAUAGGAAUAGAAGUACUAAUAAUAAUAGUAUCCAUAGUUUAGUUUGUGAGUAAAAUCAAAUUAAUUAUUAAUUUAUAAAUUUUGUGACUAUAACUUUUUCUAUAUCACUUUCAUUUCAUUUUUCACGUUUUUUUAGUAGGCAUAGUGUCACGUGGUUAUUUUAAUCACAGAACCAACGUGCGGCACAAAGGUGUUGGGGUUGCACCAAUGUAAGCCUAAGAGUAAUUGGACUUGUUGGAACAAACUAAGGAAGAAGGAAAUUCGUAGGUAAGAAGUAGGCAAAGAGUUGUAGACAAGGUGUUUGAUAAAAUGCUUAAGAGAGCUUUGUUGAUGAAUUCCCAAGGAUUCUGUGUUGUGUUUACAAAUGGACCCCUUUGGGGUAUUUAUAGAAGUAUACAAUCUAUUUACAAGCCCUAAACCGCCUUACAAGGUCGGCAAAAGCGAUCUGGAACAUUCCCGAGCGCUCAUGACACUGUCCAGAAGCUUCUGGAAGCGUCUGGGGCCGUCUGGGGCCGUCUGGCGCGCGCGCGGGCCUUCUGGAGGCUUCCGCGCGUGCGCGCCUUCGCGCGUGUUCGCGAGCCUUCCCGGCCGCUCGCGAUUCUUCUGGAACCUUCGAGAGGUUCCCGGAUGCUUCUCCGCGCGCUCCGUGCGCUCCGUGUCCGCUUCCCGCGCGCGCUAGUGUAGCGCGCGCGUCCGACUGGCCUUGCGCGCGCGUCCAUGCCGCGCGCGCCCAUCUGCCGUGCGCGUCCGCUUGUCUGCCUGCCGCCCUUGCGCGCGCGCGCGCCUAUGUCAUGACAGGGCCGCGCGCGCCAAUCUCCUGCACAUUGGCGUGUCAUAGGCUUGGCGUGAACCUGUUCCUCUUCCUUGGGUCUUUGGACUGCUUGGGACUUGGUUGGCUCCUCUUGGGCAAUGCUAGGGAGCCUUAAUUUGCGAAAAAUCUGUUGGGUCAUUUUUGGGGCGUGACAAUAGUCUUACUAUUUUACAAUGGGUGGCUAGAAUACCACAUACACGAAAUAUUCAAUGUUCGGUAGGUUAGAAACUGUACCACCAUACGAUUCUCACGUAUGUAGAUAGGUUGUUGUUAUAUACCAUUAAAUUGAAGGUUGAAGUAUAUGUUCCUAUCACUUUUAUUUUUGUGUCACGGGAUGAUCUACAACAAUAGUAUAUUGUAGUACCAUUGGAUUUAUGCAUGCAUAUGUUUAUUAUAAUUUUAUUUUUGGUUUUACCCGCACUUAUUGUUAAUAGAGAUGUUUGGUUGUACUUUCCUUUCGUGUCUCAUAUAUAUUCUCCUUUACGCGAGAAUUUUGUUCACAUUCCGGUACUUGGAGGGUAAAUUACAAAUUGUAUUGCAAGUAUAUUAGAUGGUGUAAUUUGUUAAAUCGAGAGACAUAGCUAAUAACAAAUAUGUAUUAGAUAUAAUUAUAAAUUUUGAUGUGGGUUAAAAGGUGCAUACCCUCUAAAAAAUAUGUCGUUGUCUUAAGCGUAGAAGCAAGUCAUCACUUUAAUUAAUUAUUUGGUUAAGUAUGGAGGCCUACUCAACGAGUCAACCAUAAAGUCAUAUUUAUGCUUACAUAUUAUGCAAGUUGAUCCAUAGGGACGGUUAUAAUUAAAGCUUGUGGAGAUCGACCCUAUAAACAUAAAUGUUGUUCUAAGUAUUGUAUUUUAGCAUAUACUUGAGAACCACUAGGGAAAUGAAUCCGACAAUCUACAAUGGUUAGUAAUAAGAAGUUAAUUAACAGAACCAUUACAAACCUCAUUUCUAUAUAAUCAAGAUGACUCCUGACGUUUGAGGUACACUAAAAUGCAUCUCGACUUCCAUAAUCUCAAUUACGAAAAAAAAAUACUUUUAAACAAAGUCGGUAACUUUUAAAGAUUUUAAUACGGUGUCUUGAUUUUUUAAAAUAUUGCUAGAAAGUAUAUAUCUAAGCAAUUAACCUAGAGUUGAAUAUUUUCUUAAGCAUAAUUAAACUAAUAGUAAUUUAUUUUUGAAAAAAACGACAAACUAUUUACACUCCAACAAAACCCAUAAAAAACAAAAUUUAUUACGGUUGAUUUUUCUAAUAAUUUUUUCUUUUGACAAAUUCCAAUAAAAAAUACUACCAAGCCUAACUUUUAGUUUCUAAAUAUAAAUUUAUUUGGCAAAAGAGGUAGUGAAUUUAAAUUUAAUUUGGAGCUAUUUUAAAAUAUUAGUUAUAGAUGUAAAUAAAGAUUUAUGAAAAUAGCAAAAAUUUAUAACAAAUAUGUUAAAAGAGUGGUGUUAUUUAGAAAAACUAAUAAAAACAAAAUUUAAGAAUAAUAUAUAUAAAUUAAAAAAAGAAAAGGAAAGUGAAAAAAAAAAUCCCGUUACUAAAAGGGAAAAAAAAAAGCUUGAAAGUUGAAACAAUAAUCCCCGCCCCAAAUUUGAAUCGUAAAUAGGAAAGUGUUUUCUUCUUCUUCUUGAAUUUGUGUUGGUGGUAAAAAGAAAAGCAAAGUGGGAAAAAGCAAACUGAGUCCCGUUUCCUUUAUUUUGGAAUGUAAUUGGAGGGCUGCUUUUGGUUUCAACGCAAGUUAAUUUUGUUUUCUUUUUGGAGGGAAGGGGACACCAUGCAUCCCCAAAUUCUUUCCUAUUUUUUAAAUUAAUCAAAUCAUUCAUUUUUCUUUUCCUCUCUUAAAAUAACACACCCAUUGAAUAAAUAAAUGUAAAUCCUACAACAUUAGUAUUAUUAAUUAGCAGUGUUGAAUGGCAAUGAAUGAUAAAUAUGGCUGAAUCAUUUAUUUUUGUCCACCCUCCUAACAGACAAUAUCAGAUUAAUUUCAUUAUACAAUAAACAUGCCUUCAAACAUAUUCCAUUUUAAAAUUCAAAUAUUGGUUAAAAGAAAAAGAAAAAGAAGAAGAAGAAGAGGUUUAUUUAAUUUAAUUGUGUAUCAAAUUCAAGGAAUGUUCCUCCACCAUAAUAUAUAUAUAUAUAUAUACAAAAGAAUAAAAAUAGAAAUAAAAAUAGAAAGAAUGAGGGAAGAUGGGAUGAAAUAGAACGCACGCGCGCAUUUCCGGAAGUCAGUGCCGCACGUACCUAACUCUUUACUCUCUUUCCUAUAUAAACUCCCCCCCGCCACUUCCUUCUUCUUCAUCUCUUCAUAUUCUCCAUUUCCAAUUCCUCUCUUCAACUCACAUAUUUUCUCCACUUCUAAUUAUUAAUUAUCAUAAUCUUUUAAUCUUAAUUCCUUCUUCACUUUCCUGCUUUUUUAUCUCUGCAAAAUGGCUGCUCUUACCUCAUUUCCUCAGAUUAACGAUAUCGAUUCCGCCAUGGCUGGCUUCGAUGUUGAUAAGCUUACUUAUGAGAUCUUCUCUAUUUUGGAAAAUAAGUUUCUAUUUGGUUGCGAUGAUUCAGAUCAGAAGCUACAUGUCGCUCCUCAGCCUCCUCUUGUGGAUGCCAAUGCCUUUAAAUCUGGAAAGCAUAACUCAGGGAAGGUUAGGAUUUUGAGUAUUGAUGGUGGAGGUUCUACCGAUGGGGUCCUUGCUGCUAAGUCACUUACGUAUCUUGAGGAUUUUCUCCGUCGGAAGUCGGGAAACCCUCAUGCCUGCAUUGCAGAUUAUUUUGAUGUGGUUGCUGGUUCGGGAGCGGGAGGCAUUCUCGCGGCCUUGCUGUUUACUAAGGGGAAAGAUGGUUAUCCUCUGUUUACGGCGGAUGGAGCUUUGAAUUUUCUGAUUAAGAACCGUCGGGAGAUUUUCCGGUCAUCGGAUGGAGGAAUCCUCAGACGAGUGUUCGGCUCGACGAAAGUGGAGAAGUUGUUUAGGAAGACGUUUGGAGAGUGCACGUUGAAGGACACGUUGAAAUCGGUUUUGAUUCCGUGCUACGAUCUCUCCACACGAGCGCCAUUCCUGUUUUCUCGUGCCGACGCUCACGAAAUGGACGGUUACGAUUUCAAGAUUCGCGACAUUUGUAUUGCGACGUCUGCAGAACCGACAGUCUCCGGAGCUGUCCAAAUGUCAUCCGUCGACAAGCGAACGAAAAUCGCAGCCGUCGACGGCGGCAUAGCGAUGAAUAACCCGACGGCCGCUGCAAUCACUCACGUGUUGAACAAUAAACAAGAAUUUCCGUUUUGCAACACCGUGGAAGAUCUCCUCGUAGUAUCUCUCGGAAACGGAGAGUCAGACUUCAGCGCCGUAAACCUAAAUUCAUCUCCUGCCUCAUUCACAAGGAUCGCCGGAGAGGGAGCUUCCGACGUGGUAAAUUACCUAAUCUUACCCUUUAUAUACAUACAACAAUUCCUUAAAUCAAUUAAUUCACUUCUAAAAAAUGGUUUAAAGAUGAACAAUCCAUAGUAAAAUUUUGUAUUGAAUUGAUAAGGACAAAAUUUGUCGGUUGAGGAAGACAAAUACAAUAGCGAAGAGAUUCGGCGUUCAUUUAAUUUUGUGCAUACAAACAUUUAAAAAAAGAAAAAAAGAAGGCCGUAUUUGGACUCGACAGCUUUAUUGCAUCACAAAUCAGACUUCCUUCAACCCCCCCUUUGUUUAUUUCAAAAAUAAAAUAGAGAAUCUUAAUUUGUUAGCACAAAACACAUACAGAGUAGAAAUUGGGCUAAUUCAUUUAAUGGGGUUGGUGAGGUUAUUAAUUAUUUGUGUGCUUUUCUUUUCUUUUAUUCUAUAGGUUGAUCAAGCUGUUUCUAUGGCAUUUGGUCCGCACAGGGCAACCAAUUAUAUUCGUAUUCAGGUAUACAUUAUCAUUGCGUUGUUGUUAUUCAACUUCAGACUUUUCCUGCGUUAAAUUUCCUUAUUUCCAGUUAUUAGUCUGAUAAGAAACUGUUUAAUUAACAAUGGAACUUGAAUUUGAUUUGAUGUUAUCAGGGAAAUGGGAUUGUUGGGGGUUUGGAGAAGGGAAAAAGAGGGCAGAAGAUGAAUAGGAUAAACAUAUUGGAAAAAGCAGACGAAAUGCUAACACAGAAGAACAUAGAAGCUAUUUUAUUCAAAGGAAAGAAGAUGAUUGAGAACACAAAUUUAGAGAAACUUGAGGUUUUUGGUGGAGAAGUAAUCAAAGAAGAAGAGAGAAGAAAAAGUAGCAUCCUCCCAACUGUAUUAUUGAAACAAGCUGCAUUUCCAUCCCCAAGAACAUCCUCUGCUUCAGCCACAACACUCUCCACAAUUUCUUCAUGCUAAUACUUAAUUAUUUCAAUCAAACCCAAAAAAACACUCUGAAUUUGGUGGUUAGUUUAGUUUCUAUAUAUAUAUAUAUAUAUAUAAAUCAAUCAAUCGAUCAUGAACCCAAAAAAAAACGAUGAAUUUGUGUAUUAUGUAUGCUGCUGCCGCUCGCGAUGAAAUGGAAACGUCCGAGUCUGAGCUGAGCUGCCUUUUUUUUUUCUUUUACUGAAUCCUUCUGGGGUGUGGUUGUUGCAAACAAAUAUGAGGGCUUUCCAAAUGCCCCAAUUGUAUAGUUUAAAAACACAAACUGAGAGAGAUUUUUUUCUUUCAUUUUUUCAUUUUUUUUAUGGGGAGAGUGUGUGCUUUUAGAGUAGAAAGAAAGAGGGAGAGAGAGAGAGAGAGAGAGGUUUGAGUUUUGUGUAAUUUUACAUAUAAUAUCCCAUUGGUAAAAUUUGGGCAUUUAACCUCUCUUUCUUGUGUUUGUAUUCUCUUUUUGAGUUAAGUGUGUGAUGAUGAUUUAUAAUCACUUUCACUAGUGGACAAAGGACAUGGGGUCCUUUGGGAAGAACAAACAAGGCCCAAAAUUGUAAUAGAUCAUAGUGUUUAUUUAAUGUCACAUUAUUAAUUCCUCUUUCUUUUCCGCCUUAAAAUAUUUUCAUCCAAUUCAAUCUUCUAUACUUUUCUAUUUCAUCCAAUUCAAUAAUACAUUUAGCAAUUUUAAUAUUUGUCCACUUAUCAAUCACAUCCGAUUCAACCAAAUAAAAUACCCAAAAAUAAUAUCAAAAUGCUCCAACCUUAUCAUAAUUUAAAUAAGUCAUAAAAAAAAGCAAAGACUAAACUUUAGAAUCCCUAAACCUAACUAAUAAAGCACAUAUCCUUCCCAACCAUGAUUAGAUGUUAGGAAAACUAACACUAAACAAAUAAAUUCUAUUUAGCUACACAAUUAUUCUUAAGUACCUCAAAACAUUCACACAUUUAGAAGAAUAAUUAAAGGGACUAUUUAUUCAAAUUUAGAGUUUAUUUAGUAUAAUAACUACAUAAUAGGAUAUCAAACAUCUAUUAUAAUUAAGUAUGAAAUCGUUUGUAUCAUUCCACCAUUUUUUUAGAGAAUUUAAAUAGAGUUAGCACACUCAAAUUUGAAAUAUUUUUAAUUGAAACAAUUUGAAACCAAUUGAUAUAGACUAUUUUUAUAGUGAUUGGAGUUGAAUUUUCAGCAUGUGACAAAGACAUACUUUUGAAUAGUUAAAACUAAACAUACUUUUGACUUUUAGGAAGGAAGAACAAGUUAACUAUCGUCCACUUCAAGAUUAAAGUUGAAGUAUAAAUAUAGAUAGAUGGAGUUGGAUUGGAUAUGUUCUGUUUUUUCCUUUUUUUCCCUUGUGAGGAUGAAUUGAAAAUGUUAAUGAAAUGGGGUUUGUAUUGAUUUAAAAGAAGGGGGGGCUGCAGCUGUUGAACAGAUAUUGUACAUUCAAUUAAUACAGAAAUAAAAGCUAUGGGGAAGGUUGGUGAUGUUAGAACUUAAGACCCCAAAAUUAAGAAAAAGUGGUUGAGAAGAGAGAUUGCUUUGCAUUCCUUUUGGCUUUGGCUUUGGCCUUCACUCACCGACAAAUUAACUUUUUUAGAGAAUAUUAUGGUCGGCUCUUUGUACUCUUCUUUCUAUUAUUUGACUUCAAAUCAUUCUAAUCUAAAAUCAAAUUGCAUCUGUUUGGAGCAAAAAACCAAAUUAGUCUAAAGUUUCAACUCCAUCCAUAUCCAAAACUUCUCCACUUUUUUUUUUUUUUUCAUGUGAACAGUUCGUUUCUUGUAUUCAAAAAACCUUUUCAUACUAUAGACCAAGUUGAGAUAGACUUGUUAUAUAUUGCAUCUUUUCUUAAAUAUACAAAUUUAACUAUUUAUUUUGAAGAUGUGAUCUCCUUUAAAUAAGUUAAUAAAUAAUAAUCACUUUAUAUUGAUGACUACUUGUGUGAAUCCUGAAUAGUUAUAUAUAGUUGGUAGGAGGCUUAGCAUAGAAAGACUAAAGAUGAUGAAGCAAAAGAAAGAAUUGAAAUCAAGAAUUAAAAUCAACGAAGUGUUGUCAAGUCACCUUUGUAAUUGAUAUAUAUAAAAAGUUAUAAUUCAUUUAUUGUAGCUGAUGGAAAACUAAUGGUAUCGACCAAAACCAAGAUCUUUCUUAACUUGAAAAAUUGUGAAAUCCAACUUUCCGACUCAUUCAAUACACCACUUAAAUCAAUCAAUAAGUGUCUAUAUGACACGUGUUCAAAGCAAUUUAGUAUCGAGUUUACAAAUAUCAAACUUUGAAUCCUCAAACUUUUAAAAAUAAUAGUUUUGCUUCAUAAAUUUUUAAAAAGUAUUUAUUUUAAUAACUUUUUAACAAAAAUCUAAAUGGCCUUCUACUUCUAAGCUCAGUGUAUUAAGCAAGAUGUGAAGUAAGAUGUGUCAAAAUAGUAAAUGACUGCCAACAUGAGCUUAGUUCAAUGGAUACAUGUAUGUAUCCAAGAACACGAGGCUUCAGGUUCAAAUUUCCUCCUCCUAUUUAUAUUACAAUACUUUUUCAAGUAAAAAAGAGUGAAAGACCAAAAUUUUGAGUGUAAAUUUGAGCUCCAAAUUCUCGUAUAAACAAAUCGACCAAGUUAGAUUAGUUAAGCUACUUUUAAAAUUUGGGGGAAAAAAGUAAAAACAAUAUCAAAGGUUUAGGAAUUAAUACAGCGAGAGGUUAUAUUUUUGUAUAUAUAAAAAACACCAACGGCCCCACGAUGGCUCAUCAGCUAAUGUUCACAAAAAUGUCAUCAAAUUUCUUUUGGAGAAAUAAUAUCAAUUUAAAUACUAUAAUUUAUCUUGUGAAAAGAUUUAAAUACCAUAAUUACUUAUCAUGCUAGUAUUUCAUUAUCUAUUAAUAAAGAUAGUAUCUAACUAUAUAACGUAGAGAAAAGGUAAACCUUUUCGUUGCACUCAAAAUGGAGAAAUAUGAAUUGGUGUUGUGGUGAUCUUUGUAUUGGAUUAGAAACAUGAAUUGUAUAUAUAUAAUAGUUCGAAAGUCUUACAUUUCUAUUACAUCUUACACUUCACAAACAAGUGAUUUUAGUGAUCCAACCUAUAAAAUGUUAAAUUGAGAAGGUGCUUUACUAAAACAAAUGGGGAUGCUACUCAACAAUUAAGCACCAUAUGACUAAAAACAGAAGCCGGAAGUAAAUUUUCAUUUACGUUCAAAAGUAUUAUACGGGGGGGAAAAUACAGCUGGGCAUAAAAAGAAAAAACAAAAAGAAUAAAAUUUGAUGUGAUUCAAAAUAUAUAUUUUAAUGGAAGUGACUGCCAUUGGUUUAAUAGCAAUUCUUCAAAAGCACAAAUACAAAAGCUGGCUGGCGACUUUGAACGACCCGAUCCUGAAAUUUCAAUAAACUCAGCGCUUGAAAAAAAAUAAGCACCAGCAACCAAUAAACGAUAACACUAAUCUCUAUUACCGGCAUCCACACUUUUGCCUCCGUUGUAUCGUACACGAUAACGGCUCGUGUUCAGACUGACUUUGAAACAUUGGUAGCUCUCACAUCUUGUCUCGUGCUUCACAGAGGUUCAAUAGUUCCACUUUUAAGUCUUUCCAUCCUGGCUUGAAGUCCAGAUAGUGCCUUCUCAUCCAUGGGAAGGACUCCAGCUUGAGCAGAAUUCUCAACGCCGAUGUGCUCUGAUGGUUGAGACAUUUGAGCAAUCAUUCCGGGGUGCAAAUUGUCAUUUACAGACAUUAAUGGCUUGCUUCCCGAUUCGUGGUUUCCAGCAGCCGCAGCUAAUUGCAUACUUUUCAUCCUCUCUCUUAUUGCAUCUAGUGUGCCACUCGUUACUGCGUUUUCCAGAAAAAUUUCCACUAUCAGAUCCCCAAUAGGAAAAGAAAACAUAAAAAUACUUUGAGCAUGACUAAAAGAAUAGUGACGUUUUUACCUCCACUUAUGUAUUUGUCGUUCCUUUGAUCUCCAAGUGAGUAAUCAGGCCCGGGACCUCUUGAAGUAAUAAUCCUAUUGUCUUCAGUAUAUGAUGGUGGCAAAGUAAAGUUAGUGGGUUCAGGUUUCACAUUCAAUGAUUUUGCUUCGGUUAAAGAAUUAGUAUGUACAGGAGACAAGGGUGCAAAAUCAGGCGAAGAGUUCAUGGAAGCGGGAGGAGGAGUUGACAAUGGCAAACUUGAAGGUGUUCUACCGGCAGCUGCAUUUCUCUCCAUCUGCAAUGAAAGUGAAUUACAUAAAUGUAGGUUUGCUACAAUAUUGGGAAAUAAUAAUAUUUUCACGCCACGCACAAACAAUAAGAACCAACAAAGUCAAUGAACAAAUGGCCAAAACUAAACAUCGGGGAAAUUGUAAAAAAACAUCUCUUCAAAUCCUCUAAUGUUCUGUUAACAUGAUAAUUCCAAUGUUUCAGUAGUUAUUCACGAAAAAGACAGAUACAAACCUGGGCCAAACCAUCUCUAAUGUAUGUACGAAAUGCCUCACUAGCAUUUUGAAGCUGAGCAAAUAUAUCAACCUGAGAAAAGCAAGACCAGCAGAGGCUUCUCAGUUUAUGUUUAGCUUAAAUAAUUUAAGGCAAAGCAAGUCAUCGUCAUCCUCUUGAAAAUACAUCUAGGUCAAUCCAAAGCAAGGGAUGAUUAAUAUUCUGUAGGUGAAUGUUAUAGAGCCUGUUACGGUUGCAUUUCCUCUGAAUGAAAAUCUUACCUUUUCUCUGUUCUCACACUCAUUAUAAUUGCAAUGUUAAGAGACCGUUCAUUACCUUAGGGUAAAGUUGAGUUAUUCUAUAUAACUCGUAUAAUCCAAUGGUACAUGUCUGCUUGUCCCCAAUUUUCUUGAAUAUAGCAGCAAGUUCUUGCUGCAGUAAAAUGCAGAAAAUUAGAAUUUGAUUGAUCUAAGAUGCAAGCUAGAAAGGUAAAAGAAAAUAAACGCAAUAACUUAAGCAUAAAUGACAGAUAAAUUCGAAGCCAAAUGAGAAAAGUAUCAUUUUUUAGGCAAAGGCCCAAUACCUUCAACUGUGCAUCAGCAGACUGUGUGCCAGAAGAUGCAUUAUUUGCUGUUGAGUCACCCCAAUGAGUCUGGCCAGCAGGCCCAGUUGAUGUCAACAUUCUCGCAGCGGCUAAAGUCUACUUGGAAGUAGAGACAUCAAGAGUUAUCAGUCUUCCUCAAAAACAUAAUAAUAAGAAUAGAAUUGACCAUUUAAAUGGUUCUACCUCAAGAUUAAGAUCAAUGUAAGCAAGAAUAAUUGGCUGUGGUUUCAUAUCAAUAGGAACCAUGGAGAGAUGACCCUUUAUUGCAGCACCACGAAGCUUUACAAGUUCAUGUAGAACUGUUUUAACCAUUCGAAGGGGCUUAUCAUCAGCUCCAGCUCUUUAACAAGGAAGAAGAAAAGUCACAUAAAUACAAUGCUAUAAACCAAAAGGAAAACCUUCAAAAUUAAGAUGUAUGUUAAAUUCCACAUGUGCCAAUACAAUAGAGAUACCUUCUCCUAAUUUCUUCCAUCCCCAGAUUUUGUAGAUAUAAAUGGAUGCUUUGCAAGAUGCGAUCGAGAUCAACAUCGUAUAUAGUGCUUUGAAGAACCUGUAUCACCAGGAAGCAAAUUCAAGUAUCUGGAGGAAUAUAUAUGCAUACAUGUACACAAACACAGCAUUAAAACGUAUACCAUUCUAUAAUACAAAAUCCAGUUUCUUGAAGUUUUUUCCUCAGUCCCUAUUUCUAAAAAUAAAAUGAAACAAAACCUCACAGAUCCAAGAAAAACUAAACAGUUGGAACUCCACUAUCGUGGCAAUAGAAGACCACAAAAAUCGUCCACAUCUGUUUUACUAAUCAAUAAUGAAGAGAGAACCAUCCCUCUCCAUUCCCAUAUCUAAUACUCAAUAUCUAGAGAAAUCGCUCCUUACUUAUCUGAAAUAAUUAGAAAGAUCUAAAAUAUGCUCUAAUUCUCUCCAAGGAUGGGCUUUUAUUUAUGGGUAAGGAUGACAUAAACAAUUUGAAAAAUGAACCAAACUUUAAAUAUUUUAUAAAGCUCCGCCAAUGUUAGCUCAGAGAAACAUACAAAAAAGAGUAAUCAAACUAAUGGGAAUAAUGAAUACAUACCUUUGUAAGUUUAAUAAGACAUUUUACAACCAAAUCAGAGAACUUCUGAUUUCUGGAAGCAAAUGACUCUUUGGACCCAGUUGAAGGCCAUCUUGAGGGUUCCAAUGGACGCAACAAAUUGAUGAGUACCACAAAUGAAGAAGUUCGAUCUGCAUUAUCCUGUACAAAAAACAAAAACAUAAACCAAAGAGAAAAAAACUAUUUAAGAACAAUUUCCUAACAACACUCAGAAAAAGAAGCAUCUUGAGAAAAUAAUGACCAGAAUCUUCAGCAUCAAAACAUUUAAAGCUUUCAGAAGUUGGCUGCCAUCAUCCAUAUGCGGGACUCGUUCAUCCAAUAGCCACAAAAGAAGUUCUGUGAUAAGACUGUCCAGAGUCUUUUCCUUGACAGCAUAAGCAAGUCUUUUGUUUUGAAACGUCUGCAGAAAAAAUGAACUUUUCAAUUAACAAGAAAGGUUUCUUCUUACAAACAUAGAUAGGGCAUUUCAUAUAAAAUAAGUAUAAAAAAAUUUAAUGCAUGUUUUCGGUUCCUACAACUCCUGUGUUGAAUUAGCAAAAGCAUAAUUUUUAGAAACCAAAUAAAAAUUGACUGGUAAGCACCUGCAUAAGGGUAUUGAGAACAUAUUUACAGGACCUUGAAGAAGCUCCAGUCAGACUGUAGUCAAAAGUUUUGGCAACCUAUACACGGAUUAAAGAUGCAAGCAAUUCACAAAAUGAGCAAAAAAAUACAAAUAUGGGAGACUGAAACAGCUCUUUUCGUACUUUUGUUGCCAAGCAUAAAACAAGUCUAUCAGCAUCCCUUGCCAGCUCAUCCAUUGAACUGCCUUCUGGAUCACUGGAGGCUUGAGCCAACUCAUGACAUACAACUUUCAUUCCUUCCACAGACUGCAAAAGGUACCCAAUAUUGAUUUUGAUAACUCACAUAAAAAAAAAAUUAACACAAGAUAUCUACAAUUGGGUGCCAAUAAUUUUAAUAUAAUAAAAUGGAAACUAGAUGUCGAAUACCAUUCAUCUGAAAAAGUGAUCAAAGGUGAAAAGCCUAUUGCUGAAUUGUACGUAAAUAUUAUAAUCAAUGAUACAUUUCUGAUUUAUGUGAAUCCAAUAAAAUAGAGAGAAUAGAUGAUUUUCCAUGAAGGAAAGUAUACCUCUAUGGAAGAGUGCUUUUGGCUUAAAUUGAAACUAUUCCCAUUUUAAUGCAAAAAAAAGAAUCCUUCAGUAUGAGGUUGAUCAUUGAGAAUGUUUAACAGUAUUUACUUAACAUUGUACUAGUUGUUCGACUGUGGUUUUACAGAUUUAUACCAUGGAGUUCAAUAGUUUCCACUUUGUAUGAUAAUUUUUAAGUGGAUCCCUGAUUCACUAGAUGAUUAAUUUUCAACGAACCUCUUACCUCAUUGUAUUUACAAAAAUAUUUCAAUCUAAAACAUAAUCCCUAAUGUAAGAUGUUAUUAAAAAAUUAAGAUAUCUUCAGUAGCAUUUCUAUAGAUUUUAUAGUAUCUACAAACAUUUUUCAACGAAACCUAAUCCCCACACUCAUUAAAAAUUAAAAUUCUUCUAUUGAAUGCAGGCAAUAAUCAAUAAAUAGUUGUCCACCUGCUCAGGUGAGCCAAAAGAAAUAAUGUCCAUUGCUUCAUUCCAGUCUGUGGGCCCAUUGGCUGUUGUAAGUGGUUGAGGCACCGAUUGUCUCUCCAUAUGAAGCUCAGAACCAUAAUUUUUCCUGGAGCUAAACACAUAAUUAUAACCAAUAAGGAAUCUGAGGCCAACAAAAAUGAGACGUUAUGCAUCACAAGUACAAUGAAACAUGAAAAACUAGAAAACUGAAGUUGUUUUUAAAUCGUUGCAAGAAAUAGGCAUCCCAUCUGAAAAUCAAAGAGUUUAGCAUAAUUUUUCUUUUUAUUUCCCCAGAAAAUAGAGCAUAGCACUCAUGGCAUCAAGUUACAUUACGACACCUCCUUGUUGGUGCAGAAGUGUCUCAAAGAUCAGAAAUAUCCAAAUACCUUGUUGAAAUUGUUCCAGACAUGGAUCUAGAAACUUCCCCACUUUGCUCAGCCACUUCAGAUCUGGAAUGAAAUUACAAAAACUAAGAUUAAGAAGUUCAAACUAUGGGGCAAAGAACACCAUACCACAAUGAAUUUUGUGACAAAGGAUCUCCCCAUAACUGGAAAACUCAACAUAAAAGCCAUAUAAUGUGCCAGGUUCUGUACAAUAUUCACAUACAUUUUCUUUUAAAUGAGAAACACUAAUCCACCAAUCCGUUUCAUCGAGAAAUGUAUCAAUACUAGCACAAGGAUAAAAAGGGGAAUGACAAAGUAAAGGUAGAGACCAUAGGUAGGUAGUAGGCUUUGGGCGGGAGAUCUAAAUGGGGAAAAUGUAGGUAGAAUGGAGGGGAGGAAAUUGAUAUGUCACAAGAAUGAGAACAGAGAGGAAGACAACCGUCUGUGACUGUCUCUGCGAUUUUGCCCUAGAUCUUUUGUAAUUCUCUCGACAUUUGGUAAUGCAAAGGUCAAUACCUUUCACAAUCAUUCAGAAAACAAUCACUCUAGUAGGUUUCACUAUCAGCGCAUGCCAUGUCACAACAUCAAACCGUUUGAAAAACAAACUACAAAUUAUUAGGUGUAACAAGGUACAUACUCAUAUUCUCUAAGAGGCCGUCUCAUAGCAGCUCUAGCUUCACCAGGUUUCCCUUCCUUCUUUUUCUCCAUUUCUCUAACCUGGAAUGAGUGCACAAUGAAAAUAGCAACUUGGUAGAAAAUAGACCAUGUAAUUCGUACUUUUUUUCUUUUAUAAGAAACUUAACUUUCAUCCAAGGUGUAAGAUAAAAAAACCUGAACACUCCACUUGACUAUUUAUACAAGUAAAAUAUACACAUGCAUGAUUAUUUAUACAAGUAAAAUAUAAACAAACCUUCCACUUAAAUCUAUCGUCCAACAUGCUUCUCUGAGCAUCUGUCAGUUUUCCCACAUAUCUCCACACCUCCUCACCUACAAAGAACAACAAACAUUUAGUUACAGCCAUUCCGAACAUUGUCACAACAAGAUACAAGGGUGAAAAAGGCCAAAUUAAGAUCGAUCUCUCGCUAACUCUAACAUGAAAAAUGAUGAAAUACAUUUUCUAACACGAGAUAAAUUUUCAUUGAAAAGAUGAAAAGAGGUAUUGCUCAAAGAUACAACUCCAGUGAAAAAGAACAAGGAUAUAAGAUACAGAGACCAUAACAAUCACAAACUUAGAAACUUAUUUGGAAUAGGCUUCCAAAAUAUUUUCUUUAAAAAAAACAGGCUUCCGAAAUCUUCAUAGGCAAAAGAAAUCAUAAUAUUCCUUAUCAGGAACUUUACUUGACGUUGCAAUACAAUAUUACAAACUGAAAUGUAUACUGGUAAAUAAAUGAAGGACAGAGCGUACAUGAAACACGUAUAUGUUUUUAUCAAAGGAUAUAAAGAGAACUUUCCAUAAACACACACGCACACACUCAACAACAAACUAUUUGGUCAACUGGAUGUAGAAAACAUGGGAUGAAGAUUAAAAAAAACAGGUGUAAAAGGGUUUUCAUUAUCAUCGGAUUCCUCCCGAUGGAGCAACGGCAGGCAUCAAAACUAACCAAGAAUCUUGUAUCCAGUAGCAAGUGUAUUUAGAGCAGCUUUCCUAAUUUCACCAUCACGUUCAGCUGUUAAGCUUGCAACAAGUUGCAAUGACCUCAACUGCCCACUAAUCUAGAAAAAGGAGGGGAAAACAAGCAUUUAGUUGAAACCAAAAAAUUCAAAUACACAAAAUUAGUCAAUGUUUCUACCUCAGAUCCGUAAUUAUCAAUUAAGAAUCCAAUAAGGUCAGCACAUUCAAUCCGAGUGCGAUUGUUCUUAGAACGUAAACCCUCAAGUAUGUAAGGAAACAUUUUCGUUGCAGAGUAAGCCUGUAUGAUUUGUUUUGUCAGCUCCCGCAUUUUUUCCUUCACUUUCUCAAUAUUGUGUCCCAACUGCAACAGGGUGCAAAUAAGUGUCUUUUCCAGAUGCAAAAAAAAUUAGAAUAAACAACAAAAACACUACUGUACAAGUAAACAAUUUAUGAAAGCAAUUUAACAUCUCAAUAUUUGCAAAACAACACACAUAAAAUUCCAUACAAUCAACUACUUGAAAGCAAGUCCAGAGCACUAUGAACCACCUUCUCUAUCAAGCACGGAAGGAAGAUAGCCGCUUCAGACUCAUUUAUACAGUACCCUUCAUCCUUUAAGAUCUCGAAAAGUUCAGGAAGAAACUCUAACACCUGAUUGUUUAUAUCUAAUUAGACAUCCCAGAUGGAAACAAUGUGUGCAAAAACAAAUUGAAACAAAAUAUCUAUUUAAGGAAUAUCAAAUCCAUACCUUUAAUAGACAUGUUGUGUUUGAUUUACAAAAUUGCAGAACAAACCACCUGAGUAGAAUAUCUAAAACCUCAAUAACAUCCUUUCCAAUUGAUGCAAGUGCCUGGAAAUUCAUGGAAGUUUGUAAACAUGACAUUUCGAAAUGUGCUGUGAAAUUAAAAGAUGGCAUUUCAUAGCAAAACACCUUUUGCAGCAUCUCUAUACCAUCAACUUGCUUCUUAAAGUCAGUGCUUAACAUCCUUCGCUGCAAAUCCUCCCUGAAAUAUUUCAUCAUAUCAUUCUGCAUAGAAACAAUGAUUCAGAAAUUAAAAAAUGUAUCAAAGUAAACAUUUGGAAAUUAAAACAAAAUAAAAUUCAUUCAACAAGUACAGAUUCACAGCACAACUAUAUCCAAACCUCCAGAUCUUGAAUCUGCUCUAUGCGUGGUUCUUCAAACUUGAACUUACGGACUAUUAUUCUCUCUCUUUCCUCCUGCCAAUAAACAAGUUAAUCGAAUGAAAAACUAAACCAAAUCAUUGACAAUAUCAGAUUUGAAGGUUGAUCAGAAGAGAAGCACCUUAUUUGAGUCCUUGACAUUUAACAAAGCCUGUGAUUGAACGGCCAAAUCAUGUGCUGAUAUUAAGGAUUCGGUCCUAUUUCCCUUUGAAAUGGUGCCUCUCUAAAAAAAUAGACGGGCACUGUUAAGGGCAGACAAAAGGGACUAAUAGGGUAGCUAAAUUAGUUCGCAGAUAUUAAAAAUUCUACGGAGUCUAGCCAAAGAAACAUACUGAUGAUAUAGCUUUAUUUCCAUGCUUAGCAACACCAUUUGAAGUGGCCUUUCCAACCUUGAUAGCGUUUUUGGAUGGCAAGCUUGAGGUAACUUGUUUAGCUGAGUCAAAGGAUUCUGCGAGAAAAAAGUUGAACAUCUUAAUCUUAAACAAGACAGAAAUAAAAGUAACCUAUAGAGCAAGCAACAUACCUUGAAGAGCACCAUAGGGUCUUAGUCGUUCAAGAACAAGGGACAAACCGGGCCCACUAAUAUCCUUAACUACUUUUUCAACCUAUAGAUAACGAAGACAGAAAGCUCAGGGAAUACUCAUAACUCAACAGAAUAGUAAAUGCAGAAUAGUUUUCAUGAUGCCUACUGCUUCCUGUCGCCCAACCCUUAAAAUUUCAGUAAUGCAUGACUCUGCUGCUUUGCGAACAUCAGACGAUUUGUCCUAAAUUAAAUUUAAUUCCGUAAGGAUUACAGAAGGACAAGCAUACUAUAUGCCCAAAAAUUCCAACCAAAUUGUUUGCAAUAUAGUACCGUCAAGGCAGAGCAAGCUGGUUUUAGCAGCUGUAUGGCAUCAGAUGAAUCAUUGAUUCCAGAAAGCUUCCUUGACAACCAUUCCAAAAGGUCCUUCCGUCCUUCUGCACUGACUUUAUUAUCCACUAGAGCUAAUAUCAUAUAAGGAAUCUGAAGGAAGGACAAAUUGCUAGUCAUAUAAAGAUAGAUAUUGAUUGCAACUUUAAUAUGUAGGGAAAAGAAAUACCAUUUUAUCAAAAUGGACGGCAGCUAGCCAGGCAUCUAAAGCAGUCAAAGUGGCUUCCCUCAUAUGCUUCUUGUUGUCACCAAGACAUUUCAAGACAUCUGAUAGAACUCCCUGUGCACAAGAUAAAACCAUAACGAACUGUUGAAGUUCAACUUCCUAAGGGAUAAGAAACUAAGAAAAUACAAUCUAAGGAUCUGCGACAAACCUUGCCUGACUUUUCAACAGAUGGCCCCAUAGCAGAAGCAACAUUACCAAUGGUUGCCAAAGUUGCCAUUACCAAAUUUUUAUUGCUAUCAUACAAGCGCCCUCUUAAAGCUCCAAGCAGGUCCGCUGGCAAAGAUGAACAAAUGAAUAAUCAACAAACAGAAGACAAUAAUCAAAAUGGAAAAAGAAGAGGAAUAUGUCCAAAGUCAGUUACAUGUCCCAGUAGGUUGAAUGCGUUUGUUAGCUUCUUCCAACAUUUUAUUGACAGCUUCAAUAGACUCCAAACGAACCUGAAAUAUAAGAAAAGUAUAUUAAGCAAUAAGCAGUUCAAUAAAUAAUUUCUAGCAUGGUCAACUAUUAAACAGAAAACAGUAAACAAAUUCAGUGGACCACAAUUUUAAAACCAAUAAUAGUACCUUCCAGUCAGGACUUUCAAAAUUCUUCAGCAGUGUAGGAGUGAUCUUCCCACUAAUAUCUUCUCGUGGCAGGCCAUCUGUCCCGCUAACAGAUGUUGAUGAUGUUAGUUCUUCUGCCCUGACUGUUCUUUUUGGAGCGGCAGCGGUACCCUAAAAGAUAAUAGACAAAUGAACUCCGAAAAAGGUAGAAUCUAUAUUUGAAGUAUGUAUCAUCUAGAGCCUUGCAUACCUCAAAUGGAUUUUUUUCAAAUUCAGUGUCAAUUGCAGUAAGUAGUGCAGGUUUCACAUCUGAGAGAAAACCUUUAAGAUCUGCAAAAAUUGAAGGAAGGUUAGAGAAGAGGAAUUAUAUUAUCAAGGAUUCAAGUUAUGGUCCAAGAAACAGAAAGAAUGGAUCCAGUCACCUGGUCCAACAAAUUUAUGCACGCAACCCAAAAGCUUAAUAGUAACAUUCCUUGUAGCCGCAGCACUGGACUGAAGACCCGUUUCUUUACAGAAAUCAAUUAAAUCCUGUGUGAUUUAUUUUCAUCUAUUAAUAAAAAGGUCAUAUAUAGCAAUGAAACCCUAAAAUGUUCAGAAAGAAGAAUAAGAAUUCCAAUUUUCAAAGAAGAAGAGGAGCCAAGUUACCUUGAGUUUUAAAAGAGAUAUACCAAAGUCCUCAACAGCAGAAACCAUCCACAACAGUCCCUCACUAAGGACCUUCGGAUUUUUGUGCUCUUUCAUGAUUUUAAAGAGCUAAAAGUUCAAAGGAACAGCAACUUAAUACAUAGAACAUACAAGAAUACUGCAAUUACAUGAAACUUAUGUCUACUCCACUUUAUGCACAAAUGAAAACAAACAUGCAGCGGUAAAGAAAUAGGUAUAAAAGCGCAAAUAAGUAAAUGAAUUGUCAUAAUUAUAAUGCUGGUUUAUAGACCACAGAAACAUACUCUUUCAAAAAUAAAUCCUGGACCAACUGCUUCUGAAAAAGUCGUAAGGCACUUCAUCGCUUGAACACGAGUUUUAAUAUCUGCUACACGUUCACUUAUACCUAUCAAGUACAUAAUAUAUAUGCAUUCAUAUUUUCAUUGGUUAACAAUGUGGAAUAAGAUAUCACCAAAAAAAGAAUAAUAAUAAUGUAGAAAAAAAGGGACAUGACGCAAAGUGAAGCCUUCCUAUUUUUCUUGCAGCUGAAUUUUCUAGUCUUUCCACACUUAAAUAAAUGAAAUUUCUAGUUCAGUUAUUACAGCAGUUUCAAGCUAAGGAGCCUUUGAGAAAAGCUGAAGACAGAAUCAAGCAGCUAUUGUUUGGUCAAAAUUGUGCCAACACACACUUAAAAGAACUUUGCCUGGUGUAUUUGGUUGAAAAGAAACUAGAGAAUUUUCAAAUGUAAAGAAACGAGAUUGAAAUCUCUAAGUUGGCUCAGUUUCAUAGGUCUUCAAUGUAAUUCCUUUUCAAAAUAUUUUUCUUAAUGGUUGUCACCAGUUAUAUGCAUUGGGUUAUAAUUUAAACCGGGCUGGAUUUAACUGCUAAUAUAGUUUAUCUUGAGAAUUGUUAGCUUUUCUUCUCUCAAAAUUAACCAAAUUGUAACUAAUCAGCUGGAUUGGUGAAAAUGAGUUUGCUUACAAAAAUUAUUCUAUCAAGAUUAAACAUGUUUUAACUAUUGCAAUGGUCCAAGCUAACCACCUGAAAGGCAGAGUACAAUGCACUUUUUGGGAAAUUUUUUUGCUGUGGAGGCUAUAUAAGUAAUGACUUCAAUAACCUGUUGCUGAACCUGCAUCAUUGAGAUUGAGCACAUAAAUAUAUAAUAACCCAGCAAAGCAAAUAAAUAAGAGAAAUGUCAAGUAGCAAAGUUAGAAUAAAACCUGAACAUUUUUCUCACUCCAACCAGGGAUAAUGCAUAGUAAACGAACGAGUAUCUCAACUGACGGGUUAAGAUCUUCCAAACCUUCCACUUGUUGCUUCAGUGAAGAUAUUGCUGAAAGAAUAAGUUGAUACUUUUAAGAAGUUGAUGCAUUAAAAUAUCAGUCCGUUGCACAUCCAAAAAAGGGAAAGACCCCUGAAAAGUAAAGCUAGAAAUAUGACGUUGUAUGAACCAAUAUGGCAGUCCCACAUUGGCUAACUUUUAUUCUUUUAAUAACUAUUAAUAGGUUUUUCUCCAUUUAAGCAUCACAACUAAAACAUAACUGUUGUUAACUAGACAACUAAUGUUGGUUAGUCGCUAGGUUUGAAAUGGAGAGAAAAGUGAAAGGCAAUUAUUAAUGUAGCAAGAUAAAUUCCAGAAACAAAUUGGUCCUUUAGCAUUCAUUAGGAGUAAAAGUGACAUAGAAAUUUUGAGACAAUAAGAGUAACGAAGGAAAAAGGAAUUUGACAUAUUGUCUAUCUUGCUAUGACAUUAAGAAGAGAACCUUCAAGUCUUUCUUUCCACACAGUGCUUUUCAACUGAGAAACUGUAUCUGCUUCAAUAAGAGAACCUAAUUUGCUCUCCACCUCUUCAAGGCUCAUUUCAGCCGGCUACAAAUGUUCAAUGAAAGCAGCAAGAACAGUCAAUACAUAAAAGAGCGGCCAACCAUAAACAAGGAUAUUUUUGUAAGAAUCAAAACAAUAAAAUCUUUUUUGAUCUUCUAAAAACUAAAACAAAUUAAAUAUUACAAUUCCACCUGGAAUUCGAUAUGAGAAUAAACAAAGCUCCAAUCAACAUUAUAUUCUUGGAACAAACAAAUAAAUAAAUUUGGAACCAUGCAACUGCACACAAUCUUGAAGCAGCCGAAGAAACAUCAAAAAUGCCAACCAACCAAAUCCAUGAAUCGACAGCACAUGCUAGACAAGUUUUAGAUUACCUCAACAUCUUCUGGAACUUCAAUGGGCUUGGAAGAUUUUGGUGGUGCACCACUAGGUACACUACCAUCUGCUUUCUUAUUGGUGCCUGAUUUUGCCAAGUUUCCUUUUUUACUAGAAGGCUGGAAAAUAAAAAUAAACCUAUUACGAUAUAUUAUAAUGACAAGAAAGUACUGCAUAAAAAGUGAAUAAAUUUCUUUGCCUUCAAAACCAGAACACUUGUAAAUUUUACUCACAGCUGCCUGUGCAGGCCUCUUUCCACUAAGCAUGCUGGCUGCAGAUUUUUUGACAAAUAAACCAUCUGAAUCCUGCAUAAAUGUUUGAUCAGAUAUGUUACCAUUAUAUAAUAACUAAGAGAAUAAACAAAAAAUACUUGAAGAAUUUUCUGGAAGGAAAAGUUAAAUUAUUGAUGAAAAGAAAACAGAUACUAGCAGAAUAGAAAAGGAGAAAAUAGGACCAAGACAGACUAAGAUAAUAUCAUGUGGAGACAAACCAAUACAAGAUCCAACUGAUUGUUAACAAUGAAGGCAAAGUAAAUAGGAACCAACAUGCCAAAACCGGAAGAGAGAGAGAGAGAGAGAGAUUCAAUCUGGAAAGUUCACAUCUUUGAUGACAACUUAUCAUUUUACUCUUUAUUAUUAUUUUUUAUUGUUUCAUUAUAACUAACAUAAAUACAAGUGCUUUUUCUUUUUCUAAUCAUGGAAUUUCACAUUAUCACACACACAUUGAAUAGAUCCCACAAGACAGCCCAACUUGACAGGAUUAAGUAUCUAAAUUCAUAGAAAAGCAUAUGGGUUUACAGCUAUGACCCUUAAAGGCAACUUCCAUGGUUUAAAGCUAUGACUUGUAACCGUAAGGUAUACGCCUAACAGCUUGCCCAUUUAAUCAAGGCACCAAGUAAUCCAAUUUGUAUAUGAUAUAGAAAUGAAACGUUGUACCCUCUCAUUUUCCCAGAAAGCUUAGGUUCUUAUAUUAAAAAAUGAUAUAGAAAUGCAUCAUUCAUUUGGAUUCAUAAACAGUUAAAGUUUAAAUCAUUUUAAUGUAGACUGCUAUUAAUAAUAUUUCAUGAAAAACUAUAUAGACUAAAUACAGCAACAAAGCAGGGAACAUAGGUAGAAACACAUCUUAAUAUCUAUGACCUACCGAAACCGAUGGCAUGCUUGCUCCAGGAACUGGGUUUGCUGCAUUGCCACGAGACAUACUUUAGAAAGUUGACAUUAAAUAUAGGAGAGCAAACUUCGUCAAAAGUUGUGUGUGAGGUGGUGGAGGGGGGGGGGGGGGGGGGGGGCAUGAAAGUUAGAAAAUCAAUGAAAGAAAUUUUGAUGAAGUAAUAUUAAAUAUUUAAUCAAAUGUCGAAUUACUAGAAUGUCAAUAACCUGAGCCAUUAGAGGGUACGCUGCUUUCAGAGCCCAUAAUCAUCUCAGAUAAUCUCUUCCUUCUCACAUCAUCAAGUUUCUCCACGGACUUCUCAAGAGGUCUCAUGCCAACCAACUAUCAUAGUGAAAGAAGAAAGUUUGUUAAAGCAGCCGUAAUGUCAUAUCAUAGUCCAUACCUAGUUCUCUCUUUUAAAACAUUCUGUUACGGCUAGUUUAGGUUGUGAUUUUACCUGUAAUUGAGUUACUAUUGGGUUAAUGGGUUGGGUCUUUUAUUAUUGGGCCAACUAGUGUAAAUGCCCAACCUUUUGUAUCCAAUUGGUUUUUUAAUAGAAAAUUUGGUUAUUUUGGUUAAAACCACACGGAGGCAGAGAAUUAUCUUUUAAAAGUACAUAAAAUAUAUAGUUGACUAAAAUUACUUACCUUAGCUACUGCUGCCAAAGCCAAAAAUGCAGCAUCCCUCACUUCAGGGGUUCCAUCAUUAAGGCUCUAAAAUGAAGAAAACAAUUUAUAUUAAGAUUCAAUAGUAUAAACAAAGGGGUAGAGCCUAAAGAAAGGGAAUAAUAAUAGAAAGUGUUAGUAGUCCAUAGUCAGACACAUACACAUAAAAAUGACAUGAGCAUUAAGUAGCAUAGUUUAUGCACACUGUCCAUAUGAAUAAGUAAUGAUACUUGUUCAAAACGUUUGAAAAGAGAUUUAGCUUUCCUUUCCAACAGGAAACUAAAUUGUUAGGAUACUAAACAAAAUUGCUCGGCAAGCUUCAAGAAAAAGAGGGUUUAACUCGCUAAGUGGCAACAAUCACAGAAAUAGAGUAGUUUGCAAAAUAAAUUACAAGGAAGCAAAAGAAAAAAGAAAAAACAGAAGGAAAAAAAAGUAUCCCCUCCGUAUAUAUCCAUGUCAUAGAACUGUCUUGCUUCUCCCUAUCAGAACUUCCCAUCUCACAGCCUCAACCAUGAAAAAAGAUGAAAGAAUUGAAAGAGAAACAACCGUGAAAAUUUCUGAAAUAGUUAAGAAUGCACAAGAUGAAAACCAGAAAAAGAAACAGAAAAAACAAUACUGAAUUAACUAUAGAAGAAGCAUGUGAUUCACUGACCUCCAUAAAUAUAGGGACAUAUUCCUUAUGCACCUUCAGGAUAACAGCUUUGUUACUAGUUUCAAUACAGAAAGUAACCCAGCUUAAAGUUGAUGAGCGCACAAGAGGAACUUUGUUUUUGCUUGCUGUCUUGACAUCUGCAAGAAAAGUAUUGAUUAAAAAUCAUUGCCACCAUGUUCAACUUGGGAAAGAAUGGCAAAAAAUUAUUCUUCAAUUGAAAAUGAUAUAAGGUUUAAUUCCGCGGCUUUUAUGUUGAGGACGUUAAAAACAUCAGCUUUUGGAAAGAUAGUUGGUCUGAGUCAGUCUCAACCCCUUGCACUUCCUAGAUGUUUUUCCUUAUCUUUGAAUAAGGACGCUUUUGUUGCUGAUUAUUGGUGCACCGUCAGUCACUCCAGGAAUUUGGGUCUAAGAAGAAAUGUGUUGGAUAGUGAAUUUGACAAUGUGACUGCUAUUCUGGAAAUUCUUCAUUCAUGGGCUCCAAUUGGUGAGCGCGUAGUCUUAAAUGGAAGCUCAAUGCUUCUGGAAAUUUCACUACAAAGUCGACCUUUCUAAACUUAACCAAAAGAUCUCCCACUAUCGCCUUACACUUGGUGCACAAUAUUUGGAGGAUAAAGUCCAGAAAAAGGUCAAGUUCUUCCUAUGGUCUCUAGCUUAUAGAAGCCUUAAUGCUCAUGAUAUGCUCCAAAGAAAGUUUCAUCAUGCUGCUCUUAAUCCAUCUAUGUGCUGCCUUUGGUUUAAUAAUGAGGAGACCUCAAACCACUUAUUCCUGCACUGCGAUUUCGUAUGAAAGCUGGUCUCUGAUCUUCAGAACUUUCAAUCUGGAUUGCUGUCUUCCUAGCAAGUUUGAUACUUGGAUGAUUGAAGGGCUCAAUGGCAAAGUUUUUCAUCCAAAGGGUAACAUGCUGUUAUGUUGCGCUACUUGAUCUCUUUCGUGGAGCAUUUGGAAUGAGUGAAACAGUAGAACUUUUUGUUUCUUUUUGGACUGUGGUUCACCAUCCAGCGUCUUGGUGGAGUACCAAUUACACCAAACACUUUUGUAAUUAUAUCCUUUCUAUGAUUUUCAACAAUUAGAAGGCUCUUAUUUAUUAGUUUCUCUCGACCCCUGCCCUUAGACUGAUCUCUUUUGUUUUUUUUAAUAUAUCCGUUUCUUGAAAAACAAAAAAGGAUUGAAAAUGAUAUAAGGUAAAUUAAUUAGGGAUGAGAGACAAAAGUUUGAACAGCUAAAACUAUUCUCAUUUUUCUGUCUUUUUGGAUUCUGGUAAGCAUCCACGCAAACUAACCAAGAACACCAUAUAGUUCUAGAGAAAUGUGUUCACGGAGAAACCUAUAGGAUAUCAUUUUAAUAAUACUUUCUGUUAGUGCAACAAUUGGAGGGCAUUCUAAAGGAUCUAUUACAAUAUCAGAUAAGGUUACAAUAAUUUAGACCUAAAACCUCAAGGACAUUUGCCUUUGUAACUUUCACUUUCAUUGUUUAAGCAACCAAUAGUAAUGGAAAUAGUCUCCUCAUUUUCUCCAGCCAAGUUUACCACGAAAAAGAAAGUGAACAAGUAUUGGUAACUGUGUCAAAUAAAUUGCCGCAGAGGCAAACCUAAAAAGUUGCUAUUUGAUGAAUCUAACAAAUUGAACUCACCUUCAAUGACGUCAGAAAGACUUAGGCACCCAGCCUUAUGCAUCGCUUGGAGAGUUUGAGUUAAGGACUCCAUUAGAGCAGGUUUUUUUUCUUUUAAUUUUUCCUAUAAAAACAAUGAGAGCAAGUUGUUAAGCAUGCUAUGAAGGCGAGUGCCAAAAAGCAUAAGAAAAAAAAAUUAUUAACAAAAUUUACCACUAACAUAGAAAAAAGAUAUAAAUCGUUGUGGCAUGUAAAGCAAAUAUAUUGAUUGUGAUAUCUAUAAUAAUUUACUGGAGGAAAAGUUGAGCUAAUAUACAUACAAGUAAAACUGGCAAUAGGAAUCGUGAACUCGCAGAAAAGUUAGCUCUGAGGCCUCUGGAAAGAUUGCCAAUAGCUUGAAUGGCUUCAACAGCAACAGCAAUGUUCACAUCCGUGAUCAGCUGCAAUGUUUUUUCAAUUUUUUGUUGGUAAGUCAAAUAGUGGAACCGGAACUCAUUUUUUAUGCAUGUAAGUUUUCUUCAACAAGUGCAAGCAAAUUCAGGUAUACGGCUGUCCAAAAAAAUCAAUUCAAUCUCUGGGAGAGAAAACAGGGCCACGUGGAAGAUAUCAUACCUUUUUUAAAGUUCUACAAACUUCUGAGAAGUCACCGGGCGCAAUCUUUCUUGUUGAAGCAAGUUUGCUCAGUUCAGCAACAGCCUCUUUUCUUUCUGACCAUUUUGUAGCUUUCUGAAAAAAACAAGGAUAAACAAAUAAGUUUGUGGGGGUAGUAAAAUUAGUGCAGUUCAGAACUACAAACAUUAAGUUUAAUGGUUGAGUACAGAAUAUAUAUUUGAAAAGAAAAUAUAUACUGUAAGACAAAAGAUUAAAAUCACCAACCACGCCAUCCCAAAAUCCUGACUUCUCCAAUGGAGUCAAUAUGUCUACUGGAUCAACAAGAUCGUAUUCAUCUAUUUCCUGAGGAACUGACAAUUGAAGUGUAUUAGUCUUUUUUCAAAAAAAAAAAAAAAGGAAAAUGAAUUUUUUGUUGAUAUAAUGAAAAUAGAUUAAUGCUCAAAGUGACAUUAACCUAUGAAAGGGAAAAUAGAAAAAUAAGCAAAAAAAAAAAUUAAGUGUAUUGGAGUGUUAGAACUAGAAGCUUGUGACUAAUAAAUGCUUUGUUCAAUACAUAGCAUUAAACAAACAAAAAUUAAUCAAUAAAUGAAUAAAAUAGUCACACAAACUUCUGCAUACCAUCAGCUACAGAUUCUUCAGAAGGUCCUGUACCGACAGCCUCAGAAGUAUCUUCCUUUUCUGGUUCUUUGUCUUGCUCGGACCUAACUAAGUAACAUAAUUAAUCUCAACACAAAUACAAUAAAGAAACCUUUAAAAUGGUUGCUAUGGAAGAGGUACAUAUAAAAAUAGCUAAUUUGGGAUUUAUAUAAGAGACAUGCAAAAUCCAGAACUAACUACAGAACACUGAUCAUCUUGUUAAACGACAAAGAACAUCUUGGUAAGCAAUCAAUAGAGAAAAUGUUAGUAUUGAAAAAUAAAAUGAAGUUCUAAAUUUGAAGAAUUUGAGGAAUUAAAAAAAUCAUUUGAACAGUUUAAAAUGAAGUAGAAGGAAGAACAACAGAGAAGGAGCUGAAUAAAAGUUAAUUGGAGUAAAAUCACAAAUAUUAUGAUACAUUGGCUAGCAUUAGCAGCAGACGCUGAAUUUUUUGUGGUAUUAUGCUAUCAUUAUACCUUUGCAGCAAAAAGCUUCAUACAAGAUAAGCACCAUAAGUUUAGUCGUCCACCCACCAAUCAUCUGUAUACCACCCACAAUACUCUACAGCUUGCUUGUCCUCUCUUUCUCUACAUUUAACUUUUCUCCCAUUCUUUUACUCUUUUAUCCAUUCCUCCUCUUUUUAUUUUACAUAUGCUGUCGACUACCCCCAUGUUUCUUCCUUUCAUUUUGUUUCCCUGGGGCAAGCCCCACUAAUAGAAUGCAAGAAGCAUGUGUACGUAUAACUCAUGAGAGUCUUCAGAAAUAGCAAAAUUUUCAAGUUAUUCUCAAAUUAACAAUCCAAUGAACUGUUGACACAGCGACAAUAUUCAACUGAUCAUCAUAACUAUGUCAGACUUAUUUACAAUUUAAAAAAAUUAUAUCUUAAAUUGAUAAAAGAAAAUUUACCUUGUGAUGUAUUUAGUUUGUGCUCACUGUUUAGUUACUGUUACUAUCUUAAAUGUGUUCUGAUAUUUUAGAAGCUGUAUAAUUAGGCUGAUGUAAUUUUUUUGCUUUUGGGUUUUAGUAUAAAAAUCCUUAGUUUGUCAUUUUGUGUUUUUUAAUAAUAAAAAAUUCCAAAAGAAGAUUUUUGGUCUCUUUUACGUGUUUUCUGUCCAAGAACACAGACACACACCAAACACACCACCUUGAAUCUACCAUCGGUGUUAGCAAACCCAAAAAAACAAUUGCCAAUGUCCUAGUAAAAAUAAGAACUGGUUCAUGCAAUUUCACCUUUGUCACCUCAUAGGCUCAGAUAAGAGUUUCAAUAGUUCCUCUUUGGUUAUUUCCUCAAUAAAGAUAAUUUCAUAGAGUAUUAGAGGACUUAGGUUCCUUCAAAGUGAUUUGUUUUUCUUUUAGAUCUUCAAAAUCAGUGCCUAGAUAUGGUCAUAAUUCAGGGAGAUAAAUAUCGGAACGGUUGACAGAAAAUGGGUAGAUCAACUUGGACCCAGUUGGCAGGCAAAUGAAGGGUGUGAAUCGUGACUGCGAGAGAAAGAACAAUAUUGUUGAAGACCUUGGUAUGCUGAAAUUACAUCUAUUCACAGUGUGGCGACGCAACUUCUCACUCAUUAUUUGACAGGUUAUCUGUUUAUAAGGAAUCGGACAAUCUAUUUUUUAAUUCCUGGUUUUUAAGACUAGCUUUUUUCUUUUUCCAUGAUCAGCCCCAAAAUAGCUGUGAGUAUCUAAUGAAGAAUUUUAUCAAAAACUAGAUUAAUUGGUGCAGCUAUUUGGAUCUUAAAAUUAGCCUUCCGAUUCCAUCCAUGCAGCAGAGAGUGUAUCAUUAGAAUUUUCUACUCGUGGAUUUAUUUUUUAUUUUUCGAGGAAAACAACAAUUUAGAGAUUCCUGCUUAUUUUCUACCAUAAGAAGUUUCUGAAAUUUUAGUUAGAGUGAAGCUCCUUCUGAAGAUUAUCAGUUGUGUCUUUGCUUUGUUAUUUGUUAUUUGUUUUUUAUUGUUUGACUUUUAUCUUCUUAUAUUUUUGGGCCCUUGUUUCUUUUUUACUGUAUUGUCUUCCUUCAUUUCCAAUGGAAACUUGUAUCUUUUUAUCUUCCUUUUCAUAUAGCAAUGAAAAGUAUUUCACGUCAAAAAAUGUCAUUUAAACCACAACCUGAACAAUAUAUUACAUUACUUAAAGAAGAAGAAGAGAAAAUCGAGAGGAUCCAGCAUAGUAGUAAUUGACAUGCUAGCCAUUCCAAUGAAAGAAAAAAUGAAGUGAACACGGCAAGUGAAUUAUGGCAGCUUAGAAAGCAUGAACUAGUCACUAUCAGGCUAAUAAUAAUAUAUUUACAAAAAAAAUAGUGCACUGGCAAGAAUGUAAAAGGACUAGAUGUUAACCUUAUUUUUCGAGAAGGCCUAGCAGACCCCGUGACAUUGACAAGCUCCGCCUCCAACUCUUUUUUCUGAAAAUUCAAGAUUAAAAAAUUAUAUUACAAUAAGAAACUGAUAAAGAACGUUAUAUAAAUUAUUAGCCAUCAAUAUUGAUCAUACCAUUGUAUCCCUCAUUUUUUCAAACAAAAUCGACUUUACUGGGUCUUUCCCAAUCCAACGACAAAGCUCAAGCGUCAACCCCUUAGAAGAUGCACGAACAUUUUGAUCUUGAUGGUCAAAGAGUUCUGGAAGCAUCUUUAAAAUUCGUUUUGGAGGAACAACUUUUGCUCCAAAGUCACUAUUUUAGAAAGGAAAGCCAUAGAUGAAUUACACAGUAAAAAGUAAAAAUAAAUGAUAAAAUUCAAAGUACAAACCUCAAAGCUUGAAACAUGACAUCAAUAGCAGGUACAACUGCUUUUGCAACUUUAUUCUUUAUAGCUUUCUCCAUUGCAUCCUAUAUUAGCAUAAGCCUUCUAGUGAGAUACAAGAACAAACCUCAAUGCAUACAUAUAUACAUAUAUAUCUUCAAAUUAAUUGAAAUUGCAGUUUGUGUUUGUUUUUCAUUUUUAAAAAAUGAAAUAUAUAAAUGCGAUCCAUAGAAAAGAAAAUCCAGUUCACCAGAAAAAUCAUGCAAGCACACAGAAAAAAAUUUAAAAGUAGAAGAAGAAAGAAAGAAGCAAGAUAGUUUGUAUUGAGAAACAGAAGCCCAUGCUAGACUCAAAAAUAUACCCUAGUACAUUGAAUCGAGGAAGCCAUCAACAGACAAAGUGAGCUUAGCACCAUUAGAUGGACUUCAUAAUAUUAUGCUUUGGCAGCAUAAAAAUCAGUGAAACUUUUUAAUUGGAAGCAAUUUUAAACUUAGCCUUCAGUGAAAGCAACAAUCAAUAUAAACUCUCUUAAUUUUUCUUCAAUAAAUUCAGUUUCUACUUUCCAGUCAUCAACGAUGUGUAACUAGACAUCAGCUGAUCAUCCACUUCACUCUCCAAGAACUCCCAUCUAUUGUGAAAAAUGGAAUUUCUCAAAAGGUUUGACUUUACCAAGCCCUCGUGUACAAAGUUCGGGGACCUCUCAUGGUGGAGGACAUCUUAAAUAAACACUGAAAAUGGGGACCAAAUCUCAUUGUACAAAGUUUGGUAGUCAAGUUAGCAAAAUGAUCAAACAUCGAAAGUAGGUUGCCUAAAUGGUUUUGACAAGGGCAUUUGGUUGAUCUAAGGAAAAGGUGACCUAUACACCAAACCCUGAAUAUUAGUAAAAGAUAAAUCUUUUGAAGGCAUCUUUCUCAAAGGAAAAAAAUAUCUUUUGAAGGCAUGUACACAUUAUUGUCAUUUUCAUAUAAGAGACCAAGUUCUCAUGAAGAUCAAACAAAAAAAAUAAUAGGCAAAUUGGAAACUAAAAAUAAAAGGCAAGGGCCCAGUUAAACAAACAAGGGACUCUAGCAAGGCCACACCAUAAGGCCUCUCCAGCCCGAUGUUUUUAAAGGCUCAAGGCACACUAAUGCACAAUGGUCCUCUAGAACCUAGGCGCAAGGCACACUAAUGCACAAUGGUCCUCUGGAGCCUAGGCGCAAGGCACACAAAAAGGCGCGGGCUUUUUUUCAUGAGGCGCACUAUAUAUAAAUAAUAUGUGUGUGUGUGUGUGUGUGUGUGUGUAUAUAUAAGUAUAUGUAUAUAUACAUAUGUAUCUACAAAAUUGAAAGGAGCAACAAUGUAUAAAAUAUAAAUAUAUAAGCAAGGUGGAAAUGAGACUUAACUAUAAUGUACAAAGUAUUACAAUAUUAGUUUUCAACCCAAAAAAACAAAACACUAACAGAAAACUAGUCAGCAUUCAACAACAAUCAAAAUAUAUAUAAUAAUUUAUUUUUUUAUUAAACUCUAGCCCACAUAUUCUUGAAAAGCACAUGCCUAUUGCGCCUAUUGAGCCUCAAAGAAGCACCCUUCUCACGAAAGAGGGAUGAUGAAGAUGUCCUCCACCAUGAGACUACACCAUCAUGGUCGAGCCAAUUCCAAUGGAAUAGUGCACGAAUGCAUUAUACUAUUAUUAUUAUAUUUAUUAUUAUCGGAAAUAAACAAGUAGUUUCAAAAUUAACUUUGAUUACAACAUUAAAAUGGCAGAUAAGUUUGAAGUUUUACCCCUGGUAAAUUUUAAAAAAAUAAUAAUAAAUAAAUAAAGCCUCCAUUACCAGGAAAACAUGUAAAAACAUCCAAAUAGUAAAAUUCUCUAUAGGUUUCAUUAGCCACUCGCAAUCCUAAAAAACUGUUAUGUAAUGAAAGUACAUUUUCUAACGCAAAAGAUAAACGGCUAAAAUAAAAAUGCCACAUUCUGAAAUCGAUGAUUGAAGCUAUGAGAUGCAUAGAAAAAAAAAUUACCAGGAAAACAUCCGCGGCUUCGAGUUCUACCCACAACAUAAAAACUGCUUGGGCCUUCUCCACGGUCUUAGGUCUACCAGUUAAGCAUUUUGCAACAAUUGCGUCACAAGUUUCUUUGGCAAAUCUAUAAACGAAAAUUUCCAAAAGCAAACACAAUCAGAACAUUCACUGAUAACUCUAAAUCACCAGAAACACAAAUGUAGAUGACUAAAAAAAGUUACACGUUCAGGUAGAAAAACAAAAGAAUUCCCACCUCCCCGCAUCUGCGUCAGCAGCUCGUAAGUAAGCAAUUAACGCAUCCAGUGCCUUCUCUUGCACUGGUGCAUUAGAAUCCGCAACGGUCUUCCUAAAUAACGGACCUAAAGAAAUGAGAAACAAAAUGCAUGAGCAAAGAUCUAUAGCAAUCAGUGCACUCGAUCGUCAACACUGAGCUCCAAAGCCACGAUACCAGAUCUAAUAAGUGGAAAUAAACCUAAGUAGACUCACCAAAUUCACGGAGACGAGAAUCCUUAGGAUCCGUAAUGGAGUCGCAUACGGCAGCUAGAUCAAUGUUGGCUUCGUUCCUGACCUUCCAAUUCUUGUGGGAAAGCCGAUCCUCCCACGGUAGUUUCUUCGCCUCCUUGAGCAGUUUCUCUUCCUCCGACAUUUUCACUAACUAUUGAUCCUAUCUACAAAAAGAAAAACAAAUGCAGAAUUGGCUCUAUCUCUACAAUCCUCUCCGGCAAAUACCUGCAACAGGUAGAAGAGAGGAGGGUGGAGGAACAAAUGCUUGGAAGCGAUGCCCUAAAUCGGAGGAAACAAACAGAGAAGGAAGGGGAGGGGAGAGAGAAGAAGCGAUGGGGGGAGGAGAGAGUGGAAGAAAGAGAUUUUGCUCUUCCCUUUUUUCGUUUCUCAUUCCCUGUGAGGCAGAAGGGUAUUUUGGGGUGUACGCAUUCGGGGAAAGCCAUUUCCCCAGUCGUCGGCCUGCACCCGUGUCAGCACAAGCCAAUCAUAAAAUGACAACGUGGCAGUAAAAAGCGGGUGGUGUUGCCAACAUUUAUCUUGGCGCGUGAAGUAAUUUUAUAUUUAAUUUUACAAUGGUUGAGCGGUUCAAAUUGUAGGGUCCAUGGGUGGGGUCCGAAACAAAGCUAUAAACAAGACUAUAGUGAGACUUGAAGGGGAGCGGAUACUGAUCCAUUCCAACUGCCCGUUGGAUUUUCUUUUUUGUAUUAAUUCUGAUUUUAUUUAAAUUAGGCCAUUCGCGUUUUCAAACCCUUCAAAAGCUCCCAAAUGCCCAUUUUUCCAAUUAACUCCCCCUCUCAUUUCUCCGUUGUUAUUUUAAAUUUCUUCUCUUUCCCUUCUCUUAAUACUAUUUAACAACUUAUCAAAUUAAUAUUUCCAUAUCAAUCAAUAAAUCAUUUUUUUUAAUAUUCUUUCACCAAAAAAAUAUAUAAAAAACAAAAAUCAAUUCUUUUUUAAUAUAUAUUGUAAUUUAAUUAUUCAAAUACAAAAAUCGAUGAUGUGAUGGAGCACGUGUCACAUCUCACCCCACCCUUGAUUGGUAUGCAUGAUGUGGCAUGAAUUGAGUAUCUCUCACGCGUUAAAUGUCUUUAGAUUCUUAAGCUUACUUAAUUGCCUGGUAAUUUUUCUUUGUCUUAACUUGGAAGCCUAAUUAAACUUUAGGCGCUAUGAAUAACUUAACCUUGAAUGAAGACAAAACAAUCUUUGUUAACCAUUACAAAACGUUUUACAACAAGCUUUGCAAUAUAACACAAACACAACUCUUAAAAUUUAAAAAGCAAAACAACAUGCAUCUCUUAUCGCCUAGCAAACUUUUCACAUUUUCCUUAUUUUGGUCUUAAUGUUUGAUGUCCAAAAGAUAAAACUUUAAAACAUAAGUCAUAAUAUUCAGUGAAGCUUUAAGAAGUCGUUUUUGUGAAAUACCUUUCGUAAUAUUAUUUUCAUAAAACAUAUCAAAUCACAUAAAUUCAUCUUUUCAUAUAAACAUGUCAUUUCACAUCUCUCGUCAAAUAUACAUUUCACAUGUCACACGUUAAUCGAGUCAUUCCUUUGGCCAAUUAUAACAAAUUAUUAUUUAUGCAAGGGAUUUAUUAUCCCGCAUUUAGACUACUUAAAUUGUCUUUUCACCAUCGAUACAUGAGAAUUUUUCUUGAUUAGUUACUGUUGCUCAGUCCGCUAAACACAAUGCAAUCAUUUUCUAUAUUGGUCAGCUUCACUCCACCAUACAAUCUUUUUCUACAUGUAUGCCUUUACAUUUUUUUAUGUUCACACAAUAGUUAGUUCAUUAAUAGGAAGUAAGUCGAUUGUUUGAAUACCAUUUCAUGAUCACACAAACUUAAAACAUGAUUUAAAACAUAAUAAACAUGCUUAAACCAUAUAAUAAACUUUGGUUAUGAAUCUCUUUGAAAACAUUCACGUCGAAAUCAUCAUUUUAAAUCAACAAUACUUUAAAAUAUUUUGAAAUAAAAAAUACUAAGAAUACUUAAAUACUUAACCUCAAAAUGACUCUUUUCCUAUUCUUCUUGCGCAUACACGAUGGAAGCAUUUAAACUCUCGAGUUUUCCUCUAAAAAAAUAUUCAUAAUAACAAUACUAAAAAAGUUGGCUAAAGCUCUAUAUUUAUACUACUUCCAAAUUAGCUUAAUUACCCUUAAAAUCUUGUUAGCUCGCCAACUCAUACUUUUAGUGGUGCACGUGUUAGCUUCAGAUUUAACUUAAACAUGCUUAUAAGAUUUUCGAGAAGUUUCCUUACUUGAACUUCUUAUCGCAAAGUCUUUAUUCUCUCGUAGUGUGCAUAACAAUACUUUUUCUACUAAGAGUCUUAUCGCAUAACCUUGUUUUCUAGCGUACUACGUCAAAUCACCAAUCUCUUACUGCCCCAACUCCAAUCAAAACACAUUCUUUUAACACUUAGCCAAAGUUUUGCCUUUCUUAGGUGCGAGUCUUGCGGUGUUAACCAUAUGUAUCAACCAACUAAAUACGAUGCACGUUCAUUUGGACUUGAUUGAUCGUUUAUGCAUAUUUUAUUUUAUUUUCUCCACUUCAAUAAUAUCAACAUCUAUACUUUGUAUGCAUGAUAUUUGAUAAAAAUAAAUAAUUGACACAUACAACAACAAAAACAAUAAAUCCAUGAAUACACACAAAGUCAUAGUUGAAAACGUGACAGUGCAAGUCCAGUAAAAACGAGUCAACACCAGUCAUACCAAAACGUCCAACAGUGCAUGUUUUACUUAUAUUGAUCUCCAAUAGAUAAUAUUAGGUAUAAGAUACGACCCUACAAGACCUCCCAUGGUGCAUGCUUCACUCAUUUAGGUACAAGAUACAACCAAAAAGGUGUUUGGUUUCAACAUUUAUGAACCUUAUACAAAAGAUCUAAUCAACUAUGCCUAUAGAUACACCGUAAUAACUACUAGGAGAAAAUAAUUUCGUAGACCAAUAUACCAUAUCUUUAAAUAUUUAUAAACUCACCGCGACUUAAUACCUAGCAAAAACAAUAUGUAAAAAGGUAAAAAAAAAAAAAAUGGAAAAAUAAAAAACGAGGCUUGAAGAUUUCACGUAUUUAGCGUAGUCCAAAUUCCGUAUCCCAUAAUUUAUUUACUAAUUAUAAUUAUCUUCAUAAACAACGGUCCAACGGAUUCUUAAAUAACUGUUUAUAGAUAACUAACACAGUUUGGUCAAUUAAUUUGAGUGAUUUACACUAAACAACAAUGGUCCAAGUGUUUAUUUCCCUAUAAUCUGAGUAGCGGACGUGGACAGAUCUUUUUUUGCAAAGGGCAAAAAGAAAAAACUUAAGUAGUAGUGAAAUCAGCGCGAAGGUCAUCAGAGCUGCGCUCCAAAACCUUCAGCAACUGCCAUGGAAAUUACCUACUCCUCCAUUCUCUAUACUCACCCUAUCAAAAGAACCACAGCUUGCAAUUGCUCAUACUCCCAUGCCAUUCCUAAACACCUUCCAAGCAGAUUCUAUCCGUCUUCUCCACGUCUAUCUGUUUUCUCCAGAAGCUACAAUUUCAUUGUAGACUCGAGUUUACGAAUUAGAAGAUUAACAGCUUUCAGCAGUUCCAGCAGUUCUAACAAUGACUCACCCCAAGAACUCGCAGUUCUUCUCGAAGUCGAAGGGUGAUUUUCCCUCUAUUGUUAUUUUUAUUUCAUGCAUUCAAUCUUUUUACUCAUUCUUUGUGGUUUGAAUUGUUCGGUUUAUCUGAGUUUGCUUCUUCUCUUUAUGGAUAAGUACUAGACAAAUAUCUAGCCAGUUUUCAAUUUCAAAGACGUAAUGACGCUGUAACACCGCUUCUUGUUCUCCGUUCGAUUUAUGUUUUAAAUUCACGAAGCUGGUUUGUUUCUAGCUUUAUGGUUUCUUCUGUACUGUUACCAGUAUUAUUGUUUUCUUUUAUCUGCCCGCAUAAACGCCCUUCCGAUGGACACCAUUUAAGUAAAGUCUACUAGAUGAUUGGGUUGCGACGAUUAAUCCCACCAUUUUUACCUCACCAAUAUAUCUUUAGACUUCUAAUUCAGUGUGUUUACUGCUUGCAGUUUUACUUCUGUAGGCUCUUUUGUUUUAUCACGUUCCUGACCAUACUCGUCAUUUUAUCUUGUUGGCAUUUUGAAUUAAAGAAAAGUUUUGGCCAUUAUUGCACACCAUCUGAAGUUCGGUAGACAGGACUCUUAAAUUAUUGGACCUACGAUCUUUCGAACGGCCCAAGCAUGGAAACCGGAAGAUUGGUUGUCUUCCCUCAUUUAUAGAUCUGAAUGGAAAAAAAAAACGCUGAAUUAAAUCUUAGACGAGCACUUUCAUCAAUAGAGACAACGUUAGCCACCAUAAACUGUACAUAAAUGUUAAAGAAUCAGAAAGUGGGAAAGUUCUUUGAUUUUUUUUUUUUCAUUUUAAUAAUAAUAAAUUUUUAGGAGACGGAAGAUAUCCGAUUCAGACUUGAAAAAUGAUCGAACUUCCUUAGGAAUAACUGACAGUUUUAACUACACCUGGCCGCUUGACGUGGGGGAAAAUAACUAAAUAUACAAGGUAAACAACCAGUUCCAAUAAGAUUUAACUAAGAAGAACCAAGCAAGUACUGGAUCACUCAUCUUAAGCCGUGGCCUUGUUCCCGUCAAUCUACCAAUCACGUUAAAAAGGCCCUUGUCUGUAGUUAAAGUAGACCAAGAAGGUAUUUAUUUUUCUAACCAUGCAUUUGGAUGACUUAACCCUUUUCUCUUACAAAAUCUAGAUCCAAUAUGUACUAAGUUCUUUUUAAGUUUUGACGACAGUGUUGCCCAUAAAAGCUUCUGCAGAUAAACCAAGAGAAAGAAAGAAAGAAAAAUUAUUGACAUUAAAAGCUAAAAAAAAUAGCCGAAAAAAUAUUGACAAUAAAAGCUAAGAAAGGUAGCCAAGUGUAAACGGGAUGUUCCCAGGGUGGCAAUAGGCUCAAGGCAACAUUGAUUUGAGUUCGGGUUGUUGGACAAUAUUGUCUAGGUGAUUUGACAUAAUAAACAAUCAAUAUUUCUAUGCUUUUUUAAGUUUGCAAUGUUUCACAAGUCAAGCAAGGUUGGAGUUUCUUCCCUUAACUCUUUUCUCCCUUCCUUCCAGAGUCCUUGUGGAUGCAUAUCGCUCAACUAAUCGCCAAGCUUUUAAUGAAGGUGCUCAAAUUAUCAUACCUAUCUGAAUUCUGUAGUUAAUUUAAUUGGGAUUUAUAUGUGUUUUGAAUGAUCAUUAUCUAACUUUGCGCUGACAGCAUUUCGUAAGCUUGGACUUGACUGUGCAAAUUGGACUGAACCUGUAUAUUCAGACCUUGUCAGGUGUAACUCUUGUUGAUACUAUCUAAUCUAUCUAUAUUUUGAAAGGAUGUCAUUGUGGUUUCUUAAUUUUCUCGUUUUUAAAUUGAAUAUAUGAUAAAUUUGGCAUCUUAAAGAUUAUAUUUACUUUUAUCCCUCAAACUUAUCAAACUUCGAACCAUGGCAACUAUAUUUAUAACUCAGAUUUAAGUUGGACUUAUAACUUUAUGUUUCUAAUUUCUUUGAUGAAAUUUGUUUCUCAUAGAAAAGACUUGUAACUUUACUCUCUCUCUUUCCUCAUCUCAAGUCUUAUUUGAUGUUUCUAUCUGACCUGCCAUGAAAAGCUUUUCAUACAGUUGAGCCAGAGAAAUUUUGCCUCAUCUUCUAACGGAUGAUUAAGGAAAAUAGGGAAGAGGUUAUCAGCCAAUUUAUAGUAAAAAACAAAAGAUCAUUGAAGAGGAGAAAUCUACUUGUUUCAGUAACUUGUCACAGCAGCACAGCUUUAUUCUAAUUAAGGCUCUAUCACUAUUGUGAGUUAAGAUUAUUGAAAAUCGUAUUAAUUUCUAUCACAGGAAGAAUGCUGCUAACGAGGAACGGAUGCUAAUUAUGUAUUUUAAUCGUGUAAGUUUCUUUUCUUGUAUUGGAAUUAUGAACUAUUACUUUUGGUCAUUGUUUUUUUUCAUUGGUUAUGUAACACUUUCAUUAUAGAUUGGUUGGCCGACUUCACUACCAACAAAUGAGAAGGAAUCGUUUAUUAAAAGUGUUCUGCGAGAAAAGGUACUAUAAACCAUAUAUGAAUGAAAUACCUGACAAUUAUUGCUAAGUUGCUUGAUUGUAGGUUCCCUUAGGCAGGUAGUUCAAAGAGAAGUCUAUAACCAUUCUUUUUCUUAAAGAUAUUUGCUUAUAUAAAGACACUUCCAGUUCUGUAAAAUGUACGCAUAUAUCUUUAAGUUUCCUCUCCUCACGAGAAGAGGGUUUGACCACUAGUUUAUUCUGUGUAUUGAAAUGUACUUGGUAAAAAAGCUUCCGGUGAGGAUUUGCCAUCCUUCAAUUCCUGACAUCCAUGAAUUACUUGACAAAAGUUUUGAACUGGAUGAAUGAUAAAGCAAAAUGGAAAAUUAAAGCACUUCCUUGUAGAAAACAAACAUCUAGCCUUGAUAAUCCCAAUUGACUUGCCAAUGAGCUCGGCUCAACUGGCAUCUGUAUGUUUCCGAUAAGAGGUCCUGGGUCCAAAUCCCCUCAUCCCCAAGUUGUACUUAAUAAGACUUUUUCAAAAAAAAAAAAAAACUGACUGACUCCCCUUUAUACAAGACCCUGUAUCCCUUUCCUAAAACUAUCUUUUAUUUAUCCCUUUCUAAACUACCUCAUGGCAUUUUUCAUCGUGAAGAGAGGACCCGCCAGUGAAUAAGCAAUCUAAAACACAAAUCUAUGGUCUAGUUGAUAUUGGAUUUGAACAUAAAUGCUUAUAAUGUUACAGUGUAUUGAGUCUAUUGACAACGAAAAAUUUAUGGAUUAACCAGUAACAUCUCCAUCUAGGUCCUAUUUUUCAAUUUUCAUUAAUCUCUUCAGGUGCAUAAGUUGCUUUGCAUGCCCCUAUCCUCCCCUCUUCGUCUGUAACUAUUUUUUUAGAACAUAAAUCUUUUGUUAUUUACUGUUAACAAUACAAAUUGAGGCUAGCAACAAUUUCUCUGUCUUUCUCUCUCCCACCCCCCUCUCUCCCUCCAUUUCUCUCUCUUAAUUUUUAAUUUAAUUUGUUUUGUUUUAAAAUAUGAAGAAACAUUUUUUUAUCCAUCGUUGGCAGAAAAAGGCAUCAGAUGAAUUGAUGGUUUCACAAAGUUUACCUCUACGGCCUGGAGUUGAAGAGUAAGUCUCUGAACUGCAUCCUGUUUGAAUGGUACAUGGUCAGUUAAUCCAUCUUCUUUUAAUUUGAAGGCUUCUGUUUCAUAUUCAAGUGGAAAUAUAUGGUUUUUCUAUGAUGCUUGGAUAGAGUGUUGAAAAAUUGAUAAUCCUUGAUGGUUGAUGCCUGAUGGAAGCACCUUUGUGGUUGAAAUUAACCUUCAAUCCAUGAUGGUAGAAGGUGCUUCCAUCAAUCAUCAUGGAUUAUGAAUACACCUUUGUGGAGGGUACGCAAGUUCUUGAUUCUUCUCUUAUUUCUAAUGAAAUCAUCCGGGAGUGAUUCUCGUAAUGCUCAUUUAGUUCAAAUGACCAUGACCUGCAAGAGUGGGAUCUUUCCGAAGUAGUCCCAGUUAGCUUAUCAAUCUUCUUGGCAGCAGCAUCAAAAGACAGAUAGAUAAAAUAGGCAGGCAUAUUAGCAAGUUUAGCUUAAGCUAAAUCAAUAUCCUCAUUAAAUGAAGUUGGCUUAUGAAAUUCUACAAAAUGUAAGGAUUUUAUCCUUGAUAUGUUAUGAAAAUUGGGGAAACUAAAUAUUAUUAGCAACUCAUUUGUCAUUUAUCAAUCUAAUAAAUGUUAGGAACGUUGUAAGGGAAGAUACGAUUUUAGGCACGGUUUCAGAUAUUUCUCAAUAUAACAGUAUGAUCUACAGUUUAAAACUCACACUAACAUUUCAGAUAGUGCUCAAUAUCAGGUUAUGCAUCUGCAGUUUAACUCGCAUUUAACAUUUCAGAUAUUGUGCAAUAUCAUGUUAUGCAUGAUUGCUGGUCACUUUCUACACUUCACUUUGAAUAAGAUUACACAUACAAUAGUAGUUGAUAUCAGAAGCUAUUGUCAAUUAUCAAAUUGUAUCUACAAAUUACUCUCGAUUGUUCCUUUUAUUAAUAGGAGCUACAUUUCAUUUCUGCAGUUUCAUUGACAAUGCUCAUAACGAGGGAAUACCUGUGAUUAUUCUCACAGCCUACAGCAAGAGUGGAGAAGAAAUUGCUAGGUCUGUUUCUGUUACCAUUAAAGUAUUACCACAGAUGAAAAUUUGGAUCAAAAGUCUUUCACACAAUUUACAGAAUGUUUUGUCACAAUGUUCUCGUUUUCUUGUUUGCUCAUUUGUUUUUCUACAAUUUCAUAAUCUCAAUGUUAAUGCUACGAUUUCCAAUAUGUGUUGCUUAAUUGUUAGAUCUAUCAUCAAUAAGCUUGGACCUGAGAGAAUAUCCAAAGUAAAGAUUGUUGGGAAUGAGGAGAUGAGACAGAGUUUAUAUAGUGAAUUUGUGAGUGGUCAAGCAAAGCAGUCAGGUUUGGAAGAGGAACUAGCUAAAGAAGCAAUGAAGGCAGGUAGUCCCUUUUCAAUGUUGGUUGACAUGCUUUCUGUUAUUCCAAAUUUAAAUAUUGAAGGUUGGAUACUGAAGGGCUGUAUUCUUGCUUGACGGGCUAGCUUCUGCUGAGAAACAAAGGAUAGCCAAGAAGGUUGCAUCGGCGCUGAAGUUGAGUGUCGAGAUAAAUACUACCUCAUCUGAAAGGUCCGUUUGUUUUUUUUUUAAAAUAAAGUUGAUGAAUGUAUAUUAUGAUUUGCUUUUACUCCUGUUGUAAAAUUUCUCUGUUAUUAUUAUUGUUAUUGUUCUUAUUAUAGUUUUCAUGUUAAUGGCCAACAGACUACGAUGAAAUGUAGGAUCUGCAAUUAUUUGAUACUUCAAGUCUUCUAGACAUAAUGCAUCAUCUAAAUGAAUUAGUUGGCAUGCAAUUUUUAAAAGGAAUAUGAGAAGAAAGAAGUGGAUAAUUGCGGUCCAAUCCACACAUAACAUUACACAUAUUUUUGAGGACUUGAAACUUUGGAAAAAGUUCUUUUCUUGGCCUUAAUUUCUUGGAGAGCUUCAUCAUUGUGGUUUAGCUUGAUUGCCACUUUUCGAGAAGUCAUAUAGAGUUUAAGAAAACAGAUGGCCCUGGAUUUUUACAGCUUACUGGUCCUGGUAUCUGAUCUCAUGGGAUGGAGAGUAAGCUACCAAGUGAGGGAGAUAGCACAAACCUUUCAUCAUCUCUUCUUGAACUUAAUUUCACAGCUGCUUUCACCUUCUGUCGUACAAAAUGUCCUCUUAAUGAAAAUUAAUGAGUGUUAGAAGACAAUGCAACAAUGGAGAUGCAAUAGAAGCAACCAAUAUGGACCAAUGGUUCAAUUCACUUAUGGUUGUAGAAAAAAGAUAUGUCACCGUUCUUGGAAACUCUUCUAUUUCAUCUCUGCACAAAAAUACGUAUUGUGCAUGCUUUUCAAUCUUAUUAACUUACAUGUACAUGCACGUGUAUCUUGGUAGUGAACUUUGUAGUAUUUAUGGGACACUUUUAGUAUCUUCAUUAUGUGGUUUAUGAAUCGUAUGGUUCUCAAAUGGCGAGAAUCUUGGAAUAGUGGAACGGUCCAUUGUUUUUUAAAUGUUUUCUCAUGUUCGAGUUUGAUCUGAUUGUGAUUGUCUCUAAUUUUUUGCUUUUUUCUUUAUUUUCACUUCCUUGGAGAGUUGGCAUUCCUUGAAGAUUUAUUCCUUCUCAUUACGUCAACGAGAAGUUGUUUCUUACAGGGGAAAAAUUCAAUUAAAUUUUAUUAAUUUUAUUUUAAAUAAUUGAAUGGAUGAUUUAUUUGACUGCAAUGUUUAAUAUUACAUAUGUUGAUUACAAAAAAGUAUUAUCACGUGCAUUAUUUAAUGACUUUUUUUUUUUUAUAUAAAGUUUGGACAAGAUCAUAUGUGCAUUGCGUGCUGGAUCAGAACUUGCUGGCACACCCGUUUCCAAUUGCAUCCUUGUUGCAGGAACCCAGUCAGGGAUUGAUGGAGCUGAACGAAUAGGAAUGCCACGUAUUGUGAUCCGAAGCAGGUAAUCCCCAAUGUAGUUGGUUUGAGCUAGGAUAGACCCGAUAACUCUUGAAUACAACUGUUGGAAUGCCAUCUUCUCCUUCUCCUUCCUCUUCCUUGUCAAUAUAUCAUCUAGGGUCUAGAUUGAAUAUUGAAAUGACUCAUAGUCGACACAUUCCAUCACUCUUGUAUUUACUGUGUUUAAGCGACCCAAUCACUUUCAUUCUUCGUAUGAGAUGUGCUUUCAAUCUGUUACCUCUGACGAGACUCUUUACAUUACCAAAUUGGUUCCAUCAUUACAAUAUAUAGAAAAAAGGUAGCAUUUACAUUUCUCUAAGAGGCUAGACUCCUUGAUUAUAUAUCUCGUCAACUUUGUUUCUGAUUCAGGAGGAAAAGUUUUUCUCGAGUUGAGUGGGACUUGGAUAAAAAGAAAAACUAUUGUCCAUAUCGUUUAUAGCAAUCGACUUAAUCUGCAAUUCUAGAUGUAAUAUAACAACUUCAUGGUUGCUUCUUUGUAGUUUGACAUCAAGAGCCGAGUUCCCUUCAGCAAACGCUAUAAUGGAUGGCUUCGGAGUCGGUGGCUUAACCAUUACCAGAUUACGGCAAAAGACUUGGUCUUGAGGUUCAUUGUUACUUUCUGUGCUGCCUCUACAUUACAUUACCGUUAAAUCGGUGUUAAGAAUGAAGACGAUGUCAAGUACCGUUACACGACUAUUUUCAUGAUUCCAUUCAUACAUGUAUCGCUAUGGCUUAAAUUCUUUGAAUUUUGAAUCUUGAAGAAUGAGGUGAAAGAAUAUAAAAGAAAGGGUUUCAUUUACGAAGAUUUAAUAUGAAGAAAAAAAAUCUCUUGCAUCUUUAUUUGCGUAAUGGGCCUUAAGGUAAAAAUGGAGUGGUGGGUUCGGAUCUCUCUUUAAUAAAUAAAUUAACUACAAUACACUCGAAGAAAAGUAAUAUAAUAGACUAUGUUUAUUUUAAUAAAUUAAAGAAAGGUAAAAUUUAUAUAAAUGAAGAAAAGAAGGUUGAAAAAAAAAAGAUAUCUUCAAUUCAAGAAUUCACAUCUAAAACUCUUCAGAUGCUUGAAAUAAAAAACUCAACAUCUUAUUCCAACUUCAACAUUUGCUAAUUUAGGAUGAACACACGAUAUCCAAAAUCCAAAUUGAACAAUCCCAACCACCAACAAACCAAACUAAACUUUUAAAUGUUUUAACUAAAAACAUAUUUGGAAACUAGAGUGAAAGUUUGAUGGUUGAAAGUAUAUCUUAAAAUAUGACAUUGGAUACCAUAUCUAGCUUCUUACCAAGACUUAAAUACGUAUCAUUUUUCAGGAGUUGUGUUGCUGUUAUUUCAAUGUUUAAGGGUAAUAAUUCCCAAACUCAAAUACACAACACACAUAUAUAUUCACAAUUUUUUUGGGGGGGUUAAAUUGAAUAUCAAAAUAAGCCACAACAUGACAUGGAUCUCAUUAUUAAAGAAAUAAAACCAACAAUUCAAAAAAAAAAAUAUAAAUAAAUUGAUUUACCAUCCUAGUUUGUUUAAAUUAAAUACCAACGCCAAGAUGCCUGUCUCUUGAAAAUUGAAGCACCUUGCAUUAUGCUUACAAUUACAACAUUGUAAUAAAGACCAAAAAGUAAACUUUCUAGAACAAGAGAAAGAAAAAACUAGAAUUAUAGAUCAAAAAUCUUCCAAGCAAGUAGUUCUUAAUCUCACUACCUCAUUUCUCACCGACGACUUCAUGAACAAUGUCCUCCACAAUCUUCUCUUCCUCAAUUUGCUUUUCCAUCCUUCUAAAACAAUAAACGUGUCUGAAGCCUCCAUCUUCAUGCCUAACAUAAGUUAAAGGAGUGAAAGAUAUCUGCAAAUUUAGGAUAAUCGACAACAAUUUUGUAUAUGUACAAAGGGGAGCUAUAGUUUUCUCCAUUCAAUUGGUUGAAGCAGGCAGAUGCAUUAUUUAAGUUUAACUUGGAGGAUGAGAUGCACUGUUUUCUUGAAGAUAGACCUUAGCUCUUCAUUUGCUUCAACACCUAUUCUCCUGAAAUUCAGAACAUGGAUUUCCUUCUGGUGAUUAGGAACCAAAAUUACCAUGGUUGGAAUUUAUUGUGAAGAACUAGAGGAACGCUGGAAACUAAAGAUUAAUAUUUAGUUCGAGGAAAACAAAAAAGUGUAAUAAAAAUUCAAUUGAAUGCAAAAAGUGCGAGAAGUCUAGACAUACGCCCAAUUCACAAGGUAUCACUUUACCCGAUUUUUGAGCCGUUUUUCCCCACUAGAAUUUUGCGCUGACUUGGUUUGUUAGUGAUAAAGUGUUGCUCGAUCCUAAGAGAACCAUUUCGAAAUUCUUUCCAAUCAACCAGGCGAUGCUCAAUUCCAUAAGGAAUUUCCUGAAAUAUGAAGCAAAGUUAAUGAACCAAAAAGAAUAUCUUGGCCAACUCAGAAAAAAGGAAAUAGUGAUAAUCUCCACCUGAUGCACAUGGUCUAAUAAUCGUUCCCGGACAACUUCAAGUGAUAUGUUCUUCAUCAUUUCUUCAUUCAUAGUGUAUGGAUCUUCAUCCCAAGGUCUUUUGACGGCCUAAUAUGGGAUGGGUAAGCCAGUUAAAUGCAGGUCUAAGCUGAAUAAACAGAAUAAUUGGUGGUGACAAUGACAAUAAAAGAUAGAAAAAGUUGAUAAAGCCACCCUUAAACUAUAGGGAGUCGUUACAUUCAAAACCUCAAAACUUCAAUUUGAUCAAUCACCUUCAAAGGUUAAGCUGUUGCAUUUAAGCCUCUAAAUGUUGCUAAAUGCACAAACCACCAAUGAACAUGACGAUGAACUACAAGUGUUGCUAAAACAAAUCCCUCCAAGUAUAGAAUUGUUAUAAUAAAAAAUAAAUUCUUAACAUUAGUUUUCUUAAAACACAACAAUAGAAUUGAACAAAUAGGAAGCAUGCCUGUUACUAAAGUGCAUGACCAUUAAAAGAAUUAAUUUUCAAAUUUUAAAACUAUAAUUCAACUUAGUUCAAGCACAGGUGAGUUGAAGACCAUUUGGAAUAUUCAUUUAUCAGGUGGAGAAUCCUCGUUAGGUAUAUUUGCCUGAAUAAUAGCAGUGAACAAAUAGGAAACAUGCCUGUUCCGUUAAAUAUUUUGAAAGAUCUUUUACUCCAGCUCCCUUUAGCCCUGAGAUCAUGAAGUACCUAUACAAAGUUUGUUCUCUCAGUGAAAACGAAUGUUCAAGAGCCUCUAAGCGAGUCAACUAUCUGAAACAAGAACCAGCAAUACCUUUCGUAUCCAGGAAGAUCUUUAAAUUGUUCUGCAACUGUUAACAAGUCUUUUUUGUUUUCGACUAAAUCAACUUUGUUCAUACACAAUACACGCUUCUGUUUUGGGUGUGGGGAUGCUCCCAUUCGUUUGAUCAAUCCUACCACCCUCGAAUCAGGCCUAAACAAAGUCCAAGAGUCAACUGCUAAACCAUCAGGGUUGACCACAAUACUAGCAUAAUGGAGCUGGAAUCAACUCAAAGUAUAACAAAAGAGAAGUUUUGAAAAAAAGAAAAUUUCUGGUGUAAUUCUAAAAUUUCUAAACCAUUCAAGGAAAAACUAGGAAAAAUUGUAAAGCUUGUGGUUACUAAGUUUCAUAUUUGAGAACCCUAUAUUCUAUAAUGAGACAGAAGAAAUUACUACUAACCUUGCAAGAUGUCUAUGAACGUCAAAAAUAACUAUCAACACAUCAUAAAGUUCAACUGAACUCCAAGCACUUUGCACACGAGCUUUCAUAUCUUUAUGAGGGAAUCCCUUGCUCUUUAACAUUAGCCCUGGUGUAUCGAAGAAACACUGAAUUGGCAUAAUAAAUCAGAAAAAGCCCAAAUUAACUACCUCUGUAGUCUGUAGCAAUAACAAAAAGAAAGAACACAGUGACGAAUCUCUUCAAGAUGCAUAAUAUGAGAUUUUACAUAUCGUUCUCUCUUUCACAAUAAUAUUUAGUUUCUAAAGGAGCCAUUAUAUGGAAAACUAAAUCAAAUUAAAUUAAACGAACACCUUCAACAUUCCUAUGGUCAAACCAAUAAAUCUCCAACAAACAUUCAAUCCUACUAAAAUUACUUGAAUUCUUCUCACAGUAAUAUCACUGCCCUAAAUCUCUGAUAGACGACACAGCUAUAGCUUUUAUGUACCAAAUCAUGUUCAUACAGGCAAAUGCAUUCUAUUUGAAAAGGAGACACACUUCAGCUUUUAUGCUCCAUCCCAAAAACAACGGAAGAUUAACAACUUCUCCAAUGAAUUAAUGUGAAAAAACUAGGAUGACUACGAAAAACUGAGAAACAACUCCAACUAGAAGCACUAGGUAAAGAGUAGCAACACCACUUGUAAUUGAAUAGUUACAGAUAAAUAAAAAUAUGAUACAUACAAUUUGGGUAUUUCCUUUAGUCAUUGUUCCUAGGACUUCGUGAGUAGUGGUAUUUAUUUUCCGUGAAACUGCCGCAACUUUAGUUCCCACCUAAACAAAAAAAAAAAAACAUAACAAAAUUACUAUUUACAAUCUCUCAUGUCAUAAUCAAUAAAAGCUGAUUGCUUCCACAUAACCCCCUUCAUAAUAAGAAACGUUAAAACUAAAUAAAUGAAGAACUUAUGACUAAAAGAGGCGAAGGAGGCAAUUCUGCAUUUUAAGGAAACGAACAACAAUUCGAAGCAAGAAAGGACGAAUAACAACCCAAAAAUUCUCCACAAAUCCGACGAAUUUGCAACAAAGGAAGUCAUAUCAAACUAGAAUUUGUUAUAAAAGGAAAGCUAAGCAUGUAAAAGAAAACACCUUCCAUGCUCUAAGCAACCGUAAGUUUAAAAAAUCACACGAAAAUUAGCUAAGUUGUGCAGUCAAGAGGCUUGAAAGCUUAAAGAACAAACCAUAUAAUUAGUCAGUGCGGACUUGCCCGCGUUUGGUGCGCCAACUAUCCCAACUGCCAGAGACUUCUGGUCUUCCUCUUUCACAGUUCUCUCGCCAUCCUCUUGGUCAUCAUCAGCAGUUUCCAAAACCGCCUCAAGGAGAGACUUGGCAAGCGCUCUCCGUCGCCUUUCCUCCUCCUCCUCCAUAAGCUUGUAUUUCACUCCCUCGGAAUCUUUCCCAAAUAUCAGUUUGUCGGCUUUUGCCCUAUAUUUCUUAUCCCAACCAGAGUCAGGCUCGGUUUUAGUAGUUGAAUCCAUGGUUGGAAUGUCGAACUGCGAACUAUCAAAUACAGAAUCGGGGGCAUUUUCAGUGUCGGAGAGAGUAGGGUUGUGAUUGGAAUCAUCUUGCUCAGGUUGAGCAGAGUAAUAUCGAGGGGGAAAGAUUGGAUUCGUGAGGAAAGGCCGGUGGGAUUUAGGAGGAAUGGUGGUGGCUAUUCUCAGAGCCCUUAAAGCCUUCAUCUCAAAUUCUCAUUCAAAGCAUCAAUGAAAGAAGGAAGAUAUGAAGUGAAGAAGUGAAGAAGCGAAGUAGAGGUUUUGGGUCUCUGCUCACUGCCGUCGGGGUUUUUGGGGUUUACAAAGCUCACUCCUGUGCUUAAAGGCUAUUACUCAAUCAGCGAUCCUUUCAAUAUCAAUUUCACUUUUGACCCUAACCUUAUAAUCCUUCUGAGUUAUAAUCCAUUUUAGCCCUAAAUUUUGUAAUUUCAUCAAAUUCCACUUUUAACUUACAUAAACAAUUUUUUUUUUUAGAAAAAAGGAAAAGAUAAAUGUUGCUAACCUUUUUGUAUAGUGCAACCUAAUCCUUAUAAUACAAUUUUGCUCUUUAUUCAAAUUUUAUUUUGAAAAUUUUCUGUUUUUUUUUUCUUUUGUUGAAAUUUAUAGAUUUUGAUGAAUCUUCAAUCAAACCUAUUUUUAUGCCAUAUGUUUCUAUUAUUGUUACGAAUGAUAAUUAGGGAAACAUUAUUUAGGGUCAAGUAGUUUUUUUUCUUUUUACAUUAUCUUAUUGUCUGAAUAAUUAGAAUUUCUAGAAACAAAGAAAAGAAAAUCUAAAAUAUACUUUUGGCAAGUUUUAAGAACAUCAAUAUUUUUCAUUGAAAGAUAUUUCCCAGACCUUAGUUUAGAGAAGAAAGGAUGGUGAUGACAUGAGUACAGGUACUGUGAAACCUAAAACUCACUCUAAUCAAAUUUUACAAUGAAGUUUGUGAUCAAAUUAUAGAAAAGGAAUGCAAUACAAUUACAUGACUCUUGACUUUAAAAUUAGAGGCUAUGAUAUAAAACUUAGGCAACAAUCUUAUUUAGGAAGAUGGUGAGGGAGGUUGACAAGAAGAUUGAUUCAACAGACUAAAAGUUAUACUUUAAUCAAUUUUAAUUUCGUUUGAAGAUAGAACUUUAUAUAACAAACUGCAGAACAUGUUUCCAAGGGCAGAAAGGAAUAGAGAACCAACAAAAUAUAAAUCUUCCUCUAACAUUAGACACUAGUAGGGUUUUCUUGUGAAAACGGGUGAAUAAAAUUGAUACAAAGAGGGAAAAGAAGAUAGAAAAGAAGGCACCCUGCUCUCAUUUAAAUCGCCUAGAGAUAAUUGACAACAUAAACAUGAAAAAGAAAACUCUGUCCUCUCCUAUCCAAUUUAUGGCAAUGAAUUCAAUGUAGAUGUUUUCAGUUAAUCUGUGAAGAAAAUAUGUUCCCAACACAUUGCCUGCUGACUGACUUACAAAUGUCAUAGCUUCUUCUGGAACCUACAGCAGCCAACCAACCACCUAUUUGGAAGAGCUUCAUGAAACUGUCAUCGUGGCUUGAACUAAAAUGGCAUUCGGCCAGCAAGCCUGCUUUCCAAGAUUCGUUUGUCUAUGGCUGCAUCAAUUGAACUCAUCUGAAACAAGAAUACAACACAAAAAUGAUUAGACAGAAAUUAUAGAAAUGAUGCCAUCGCCAAAUCAUAUGGUUGAGUCCUAUGCAAGAGGUGCCAAACUUUGCAAAAGAGGCUGACCUGGUCAAAGUCGUAUUCACUGAUCGAUCAUAAAAUAAAUUGUAAUGAUGCUACGAAUGAGCAAAAAUCUGUAGGGUAUAAUCUUGUUCCACCCAAAUCCCCACACUUUGGCAUCAAGCAUAGGGAGAGUGAAUCACAUAUAAUAGAUUGCAAAACCAAAAGGAAGAAUUGAAUAUACUACUUUCUUAAUCAUAUUGUUGCAAUAGGUAGAAAUUUCUUACAGCAAGAUUUGGAAAGGUUUUAUACACACACUGUAAGUGGGAUAACAUAAAUACCUACUUGAGCCUUUUGAUGCCCACAAGAUUUGGUGGUAUGGCGUGCAAACUGGAAAAUGUCAGUUAAAAGAAAACAGCAUUUACAUUUGAUGAUGAAUUUCAAGGCAAAAAGUGAGUUCAGGCUCAAGGUUCUUAGAAAAAUACAUUAUAUAAAUUGUAAAUGAAUUAAAAGUCAGAUUCGUUCGCAUCCUACAUUUCCAAUUGUAUAUCACAAAGAAUCCAAAAUCAGAAACAUGUAUAGCCUACCGCACGUGGUAUUUAAGUUGUAGUAUAACUUACCUGGCUAGUUUCAUCAUGCACCUGAUACUUAGUUAAGGACAUUCUUCUCUCCUCCUGCACAUGUUUAUCAUAAGAAAGUGAAAAUAUGUUGGAAAUAUCAAAGAUAAAUCAUGGUAAAUAAGCGCACCAGAAAACUUACCAUAGACAUUGCCUCAUCAUCCCAAACCAAAUAUACUUCAUUUGUUGAUGGUUGAGUAGGAGCUUUAUUUGCAAUUACAGGAGGUGGUCCGAUAGAAGGACCACCUGUAUUUGGUCCCGAAGCAUAGGAGUGUGAAUUGCUUAAUAUUCCACCUACAGCAUCAAAUGGAGUUACAUAACCUGUUAAGUAAAUUUUAUAUAUACAUACACACAUAUAAUAAUAAUAAUAAUAAUAAUAAUUUUUUUUAAAAAAAAUUCUACUUCAAGACAAAGACAAGUUCUAACAAAUGGAUUUGGGAGUCACAAUUUUAAUAAUUCCUCAGAUUAUAAGUUUUUUGGAAAUUGCAAAGAUUUAUCUCUUAGAAUAGAGAAAGAAGAAAAGGCUAUUCCCAUAAAUGUUGGAUGGGCAUUGGUCACUUUCAUACACAAUUUGAAGGUUCAGUCCGAUAAUGGCUCUAUUAACUUUCUAAAUUUUGUGCAAGAGUUUGUAACAGAAACUACAGUAACAGAUGCAUAGAUUGUAGUCUCAAUUGAAAUUAGUAGUGGAAGUGGCAAACAUGCUCGAAUAUAUAAGAUUUAAGAUUAGUUGUUUAAGCAAAAGCCAAACUUCAAUUAUCAACAAACAUGAAUAUAAGGGACUGCAUAAAGUAAUUAAUUGAACCUGGAAUGUUUGCAACUUGAUUUCCAAUUGUAGAAAAGUUGGUACCGAGAUGUGUCACUGAGCCCUUUAUAUCUGCUGCCGAGGUCAAAGGAAUGCUUGCUGAAAGUGUAGAUGAAGAAAAAGGAGAGCUUUGGGUAGGUCCAUGGCUAUUACUAACAACAGGGAACAACGGUUGAGAUACAGAAGCUGUAGGUGUAGUUGAAGUCAAUCCAGGAGGCGUUAUCUGUAAAGGCUGGAGCAUAGGAGUUGAUGAUACUGGAAGUGGAGGCCUUGCAGUCUGCACAGGAAAUAGGGGCUGCUGAGCAUAGCCCAAUUGGACAGGAGGAGGAAUUGAAACAGCUGAAUUUGGGGGGAACCAAGGUUGGGGACGCGGUGGAACAGGCCAGGCAGUAGGCUGUGCUUGUCCAGUUGAAGGAUAACUAAAGUCACAUCGUAAUUGAUAAAAAUUAGUAGAGGUUUGCUCUACAUAUUACUGAAGAUAACACAAUAAGAUGCAAAAACUUCACGUGAAGCAGUAAUAGUGAAUGGAAGAGAAAAAUGCAGGUAGAUACUUACAUAGGUUGCAUUGAAGCUAAACCAGGCUGAGGAGGGUACAUUAUACCCAGCGAUCCGGGCACCACACCUCCAACCAUCUGAGUUGAUGGCAUCUCCACUUUGGCCACCUUUGACAAGGACUCUUCUUCUACAAGAGAGACAAUAAUUUCUUAGUUGUACCACUUUCUCCAACACCACUCGCAAUAAGAAACAACACAAAAAAAUGGCAUUCAUCAGUGAGCAGUAUAAAGGCUCAGGGAGAGUGGAAAAGAAAUCAACUCCUUCAAUAUAAGAGAGUAGAAAAGUUUGAAGAACAGCAAAAAUAAGCAUACCGCAUCCCCCUCAUAAUUUUCUUUUCUUAAAAAAAGAUCCAACAAUAUUAGAUUUUUUAGGAUCAAUCAAUAGCUAAGCUUGACAAGCAUAUUGGACAAUAAAGAAUAUUUAUAAUUAAGCAUGACAAGCAUCAAGUUUUGUGGCAAGUUGGCUUUGUGGUCGUUUGGAGUCAUCGGCUUAAAAGGAAUAACAAAAUUUUAUGGGAGCUUGUAGAGAGCUUGUAAGGAGGUCCGGUCAUUAGCUAGGUUUACUGCCUCAAUCUAAGCAUCAGUCUCCAAGAAUUUUCCCACUUUAAUUACCUAUUAGGUCUAAUGGGUCCACCUAUUCACCCUCCCUUAUCACACUAACUAGAACAAGCUCCUUCAUCAUAAAAUAGGGUUCUCAACUCAAGUUCUAUUGUCUCAUGCCUUGCAUUUCUGAACAACAACUAAUUCAAAUGGCAGACACAAACAUCCUCAGAUCUUAUUGGAUGACAUGCAAGAAAAAUUCCUCUUCUAAAAACAAAGCGUUAUAUUUCCUAACCUACAGGCUACAACAGCUAGUCUAGUCUCCAUGGACACUCUGACUUAACCAAUAGUCACGAUAGACAAUCAGAUCUGUGUUAUGGUUAGUUUCCAUGGGUAGAUUUGAAUGUAUCAUUAUCCUAAGAACCCAAUACAAAUACAUUUCUACUCCUUGGCCCUUGAACAGUACAUGUCAUGUAGAAACUUUGAAGAUUGUCACCUAUUCAAAAAUUAACAUAGCCAUGGCUCAAUUUGCUACCAACUGAACAUAGAUGCAGGUCCCUUCCAACUAACUUCCUGACAUAAGGUCAUAUGAUCAAUCUGUUUCAACUUUUACACAUAACUUCCGGAAAGAACCUUUUGUUGGUGGCCUGGGCAGGUUGAUAAUUUCCAGUUUCUUUGGUGGGCACUACUCCUUUGUACAUUCCAUCUUAUCAAUCAUUUCCAAGUCCAAAAAAAUCAAAUAUAAAUUAUUUUCAGUAAUUAAUAAUAAAACGCACGCAGACUGAUCCAAUCAGAAAAAGAAACUCCAAGAUACUAUGAUCUGGGUGGAGGUGGGACAAAUUAACGUUUUUACUGAACUUCCAAGUUAAAGGUUGUCCCCCAUUAGACAAGAAAUGAGAAUAAGAGGCAGUUUGGAAAAUAGAAAGAAUAUAAGUUCUUUGUAAUUAUAGGAGAGUUAUCCUCGCCUAAACACAAGCAUAACAUACCCAUAAACUCGUAGUCUUCUUAUAUGUCUAUUUGCACAUAUGUAUAUGCAUGCAUGAAAGAGUUUGAGAGGAAGAAGAAUAACAGAUAAUAAGUAGAGAUAAAAAUAAAGACAGAGCAUGGAUAAGUUAUACAGAUUCCUUACCCUCCUCUCCAUAGUGUGCUGCCAACACAUCAGGAGGAAUUCCUUGCAUUCCAUAGAUUUCAAUAUCUGUUGCUUCUCUGCCUGGUUUUGCAUUAGGAACUCUAUCACGAAAAUACCACCAACAAUAGAAACGUUAGAAUAUAAACGUGACCAGUACAAAAAGCACCAUUUAAGAAUCAAAAGUUAACUAAUUAAUAGGAAAGUGUUUGAACAUAGAAAAAUUAAGAGCUCCAUUGAGAGAACGGGCAAUUCUACCUAGCAUAUCUUUCAAUAUCUCAAUAUCUUUUCAUAAUCUUAGAACCCAGCAUGUGGAAAUCUAUGAAAUGAAGAAAAGUGGACUCUACGAAAUUAAUUCCUACGACAGUGAGCAGUUUAUAAUCCAGUCCAUCGAUGGAACAAUUUACUGUUGGUGAACAAAAAUUUCAUCAUUCAAACACAUUAAGAAAGAUAAAUUAAAUUAUAAACCACAACCGGUCGUAAAAUAAGUGGGUUGAGCAAAACAGUAUACCCUCGAUUCCUCGAAUCUUUGCACUCAAUAAAGCAAAAAAAAAAAAAAAAAAAAAAAAGAAGUUGAUUGUAGACUUGUAGUUGAGGAGAGAAAGGAAGAGCGAGGGAAAGAGUUGACAUACUUGGUGACUGACUCUUUGUGGACCUGAAGAACGUGGAUGACCAUACCGCCGGCAGUAGAAAGCUUCUUGUGACAGACAUGGCAUUUGAAGUGUUUAGCCUUCUGAUGCUGAACCAAUAUCUUCUCGUCAUCGAAUUCUCUAUCGCAAUAGUAGCACCAUACCUUAGACGAAACUCUCUUCUUCUUCUUCCCCAUAACGAGAACACAAACCGUAGCGCUCUCAAUUCAAAUCCCGAAACCAAUAGAGUGGUUACCAAGGCACAGGAUUAUGGGGGGAAAAAAACAAGAACCGGAGAGAAUGAAACGAGCAGAGAUCACGAAGAUUUAGGGUUUUGUUCGUGGCGUUCUCCUAUCUGGAAAGGGAAGGGGGGUUUCGUUUGUCUCACGCCGAUCUCUGAUUUUACCCGCUUCCUCCAAUUUUCGAUUUUUCACUUUCUAAUUUUCUUCCCCUUCUAAAUGCAUAGUUGUUUAUAUUUAUAUUGUUUAUACUAUACCCUAUACGUAUUAGUUAGGUUUUACAAUUUCCCUUUUUUUUCUCUAUUUAAUUCUAUAUUUUCUUUUUCUUCCUCUGUAAUAAAUUAUUGGUAUAUCCAUAACCUUUAAAAUUAUAAAUGAAAAUAUAUUUUUCUGUUUAGAAAAAUGAUAUUUCAAUUUUAAACUUUUAAGUUCAAUAUCUAUAAAUUAAUUAAAUAAAACAUGUAUAUAGUUUCACCCAUUAUUUCUUUUAUUACUUUAUAUUUUAUUUUUUUAAAAAAAAUUAAGAAUGCAGAAGGAUACAAUCUCAUACUAACAUUCCACUUUUUCAUAAAAUAGAAAAAAAUUGUUUAGAUAUGGAUUUAGUAUGACGUGAUUUAAGAGAAGUAUGAACGCAUACAAUAAGAGACUUUCCUAAUGUUUUAUGGAUGCUACAUGCAUACUACUUCGAGUAAUACAUCCUACAUGUACAUUUCAUCUUCGUGCUUCUCUUAUUUCCUUAUAAUUACAAGUGGAGAAAAAAAAUCAUAUACCAAGUCAGUAACUUGUAAUUAUGUAACAAAAAUGAGUGCAAUUUGAAAUUUUUAUUUGCUUACUCAAUAAUUAAUUAUUAUGUACACCUCAUUAUAUGGGAUAAAACUUAAAACCUACCAAGUCCCCAUUAUAAUUGGGUAUGCUACUAACAACAAUUACAAGUUUAUUGUGAACUUAGUGAUGAGUUGUGUUUAAUAUCUAGUUCACUCUUGAUGCAAAUGUAAUAAUGUUAUACCAAUUUUUUUAUAAAAAAAUUACAAAUGCAGUUACUUGUCUAAUUAGUUAACAAACCAAAUAAAUAUACUUUCAAGAUUGAAGUGCAGUUUGAGCCAAAAAAAGAAAAAGAAUCAUAUGUUGUAUCUGCGGUUUGGGGGAGAACAUACUUCAAUGAAAACGAGGAAAAUCAAUGUGAAGAAAAAAGUUAAUUAAAACAGAUGAAUCAAUAAAUAGCAGGAACCUCGCAAGUGCCUUUUUGACAUAGUUUGUGAUGACAAAAACGAUGGUUAAACUAGACAUCUUAAAAAGAUGAAUUGGAAAACAUUUCACGAUGGUUGAUGAUGAACAAUGAUAAGCAACUUUGCUAAGAUGUUAGUUUAUCUCAUCAAUUCAAACUGCACGAAAGCCAUAAAAUUUACUCAUGAAAGAUUCAAAGCUCUUGUUCUUGCUGAAAGUAUGAGUGGUGAAAUGGUCUUUUCCUCGUAAUAUGAAAGGAUUGAAACCAUCCGGAUUCCACAAAUACAAACAAUCUAAGUUUUCUUUUUAAUUUUCCCAAAAUGCUAUACAUCCCUUCACGUAAUGACGGCAGAAGCGAAGAUUUCACAACACAUAGUAAAGAACAUCGCUAGUGGUAAAAUAGGAUCAAAUCUAAUUCGCAUUUAUUUUAGUGAAACAAAGCCUCCUUUCUUCCCAAGUCCCAAUCGACAAGCAGGCACUCUGACCGCAUAUCAAACUGAUUAUCAUAAAAAAUCCUGGGAGAUUAGCCUUGAGAUUGUUCCUAAUCAGAGCCUCCCUCUCUCAUUGCCUAUUCUUCCUUCUUAUUUUGAGCUUGCGAGGGGCCAUCUGCUUUCCCAGUAGACUGGUUUAUGCUAGCCUUCGCCUCGGCAAGGAAUGUAGGAUCCGGUUCAUGUUUACUAGAAGGUUCUUUCAUUGCCAUUAUAAUAUAGAUAGCAAUGACAACGUUGACUGAUAUGACAGCAAGGAAUCCACUCAAUAGUGUAAGAGAAUGAGGGUUUAAUUGUGUUGAACCUGCCCAAGAAGAGUAUUUACUGAGAAGUGUAAUCAAACACAAGCAAAUAAAAGGGAAGAAGAAAGUAGAGGAAAAGAAAAGACGGUUAUUGUCAACAAAAAGUAGAAGAUCAAAACUAUAAGAAUGAAUAAAAGGCCAAUAAAAGAUGACAUUAAUAUGAUAAUAUCCACACAAUAACAACUAAUAUGAAGUGAUAUUUUUGCUAAAAAGAAAGAUUACCAUCUUAAAGGAACCAAUCAAAGGUAAUGUGAGUGAUUUGGUAAUGACCAGCGGUUAUGAGUAAAGAGGGUAGUGAGGAAUCAAACAACUAUUCUUGAGAAGUUUACAUUGAGCUAGUUUAGGAAGAAACAUGUGGGCCUCAAGGUUUCCAAUAAUACUGCUACUCGGUAGAAUAAGUAGUUUAGAUCGGUAACUAUAAAUCUUAUUUGUUGGUCGGGAAGGACUCUAUGACAGCUCCCUUUUCCCGCCUGACCACCUCUCACGUAUUAAACACCUUUCAUUCUAAAUAAAGAUCCUUGAUUUGAUUCUUUGAGGUAACUCUCCCUAGUCACCCACUCUUAGACCAUCACAUACUAAACCAUGCUUUUUAAGUAACACCAUCUAGACAAGACAAAAAUGCACUUAUUGUAUUGUACUUACCGGUAAUUAUCAGGAUAUAAAAAAAAAACCUAGAAGAGGCUGGGUUCUUAAGAUAAAAAGGAGGUAAAUUAGUGUCAGGCCUCCAAUUACAAAUGCAUAGAGGCGUGGUUUUGGAAAAAAAAAUGCAAAUAGGAAGUCCAAUUCCGAAAUUUAGUGUAAUAUGGAGCAGGAUUUUUAAGGAUGCUAGGGAAUGUGUGUUAUGAAGGGUGCUUUUGGACAGAUGAUAGCUAAGUUGGCCUUUCCACCAAAUCACUAACCAGUCAGUCAAGUGGGUGAGGGGGGCAGUUGAUCAUUCUAAUGAAGGGCCAAUCACACUAAUUAAAAGAAAGACCAUCCGGCACCAACAUAAAACUAAUCUUGGAUGCAUAACACAAAUCUCCACAAACAACCGUGCAGAAUAAAAAGAUGACCACCAAACGAGUGCAAAGCAACCACAUAGGUGAUAGUAGCUAGAUUUUAUGUCAUAUCAAUAAAUCUUACCAGGAAUCCAAUUAUGGUUAAAACCAUGUAACAAUGUGAUGGGAGUUAUCCACAUAAACAGGGAUGCAAUAAAGAACUUCAUAAUGACGUUUGCCAUUGGUACCUCCAAUUUGUCAACAAUGCCUGGAAAGAGAGAGUUGUUAGAUGUACGAUCAAUAAAAUACUAAACAAGAAGAAGAGUUUAAGUGCCUUCAAACAAAUUUUUUUCAAAAUAGAAAAUAGAACAAAUUUAGUAACAAAUAAAACCCUUAUGAGAAGUUCCAGGAUUAUCCUUGGAGGACACAAUGGAUUCCAGAAGAUUUGAGAUUAGCCAUACAGCAAACAAAGAAAUCCUUAUGAGAUCGAUUUCAAUUUCUCUAAAUGGAAAAGGAAGGUGUAGAAAGAUUUCUGCAAGUAAAUGAAAGAAGAAGACAAAGAACUAAACCUAAAAAGUAGAAAAGAGAUGGCUUUACUAAAGUAAGCUCUUUGUUCGGCCCUCUUCUUUAUUCUUGCACAUGUGGAGAUUCUAAGGGCAAGUGGCAAAAUAGAGUAUUGUAGGUAAAAUACUUUGAAGUGCGGCGUAAAGAAACAUUAAAUAGCAUACACUAUUUCAGAGAGUAAUUUGCGUUUUGAUUCACAAUUUAACAACAUAAUACGAAAAUCCACCCAAAUUAGAUUUCAUCAACUUCAUUAGUAUCAUGUAUACCACAAGAACAAGCAGUUGAAUGAAAACGGAAAGACAGUAAAGCAUUCAAUUCAAAUCAUCUACGGUUGAAAUAAUAAAACAAAACAAAAAAGAAGAAGAAGAAGAAGAAGUAAAAAACCACCAAAUAAAUAUGCAGUCUCGAUUACAAGUUCCAUAUAUACAUAUUACAUAAUUCGUAUUGUUAAAUGUUACCAUGUAUACGAGACCACCACGUAUAUAUGUUUUUGUAUCUAGAUAUGCAGAGAACCGUCCAAUUAUUCAUUCAAUAAGAUAUCAUUAUCAACAUGGUAUCAAUUUAUCAAGUUUCAGCGGCCGCCUACCUCAGUUCACCCUGCCACCAUUAACAGCCUCUGACCCGACUGUGCUGCACUGUCCAGACCGUGCCGACGAUCUGCACUGUUCACACCGCUUACCUUCGUGGAGUUCCAGCUGCCCAGAUAUGCUUGAGCCCGGGAACCCUCGUUUGUCCUGCUGCAGACACCGUCAAACGACGACCCUAAUUUGCACCGCCCUGAACCGAUCUGCCGCUCACCUUCCCGCUUUCCCUAACCGCUGGUCAUUACCAAUACACACCAGGAUUAAAGUAAAUUUAAGCUGCACAAUUGAAAAAACCAAAGGCAAGGUUUCUUUUACAGUACUGGGAGCCUUUCCUAAACCAUUUUAGUGAAGGACAAGCCCAUCAUUUUAAUGUACAACAAUUGCACUUCUAAUAACUGGACACUGAGUGAUAAUUACUAAAGAUUAAAUAAGUACAAAAAUACAUAAUACAAAAAAAUGUACCACAAAAGCUCAAGGCCUAAACCAUAACCAUGUUUCAUAUAACUUUCAACAUCUCGGUUAGGACUACAUAUUUACACAUUUACGUACAUAUAUGUGUGUGUUUGACCAAACCAGUUGAAACAUUUCUUAAACAUCGAUACACAACAAAAAAAAAAGAGAGAGAGAGAGAGAGAGAGAGAAAGAAAGAAGAAGAAGGGAAAAACCUUUAAACCGAUAACCAAAACGGAGGGCGAGUGGGGUGGUCUGAUCGGAGUUAAAUUCGCCGGCGUCGUCUGAUCGGAGGGGAGAGGCCGAAGGUUGAAGAAUGGAGAGGAGUAGUUUAGGGUUUGUUUUUUAGGAAAGGGGCUGAGCUGAAGCUAAACAAUAAAAGUAAUGCUAUUUUAUGAAAUAUGGUACUUGUAAAAUUAUUUGUAAAAAUAUACCCAAAAUUUUUGUCAUUAUUCUGAAUUUCUUCGUAAAUGAUAUUUUUUUUUUUUACAAUAUGAUAUUGAUACCUACCUCACUCUCCAUAAAAUAAUGGAAAAUUGCAAUUGAUGAUCAUUUUAUGAAUAAUAGUUAAAAAUAUAGUAAUAUUUUAAAAAAAUUGUAAAUAUAACAAAACUAUCACUGAUAGAUUUAUAUCGUUGAUGGACUUCGUAUGGUCUAUCAGUGAUAUACCAAUAUUUACAACAUGGUCUAUCGAUGAUAGACUUAUAACAUUGAUAAAAUUUGAUAAAUUUUGCUAUAUUUGUAAAAAAAUUAAAUUAUUACUAUAUACUUAAUUAUUUUGAAUUUAAUUGCUAAAUUUGUAACUAUCUCAUAAAAUGAUUUGUUCUCUCGUGUAUUCUUUAAUUAUUUGAUUUUAGGGCUGUAUAGUGCAGUAUAGCAAAGGAGGAAGGAAAUUGAAUCGUGCUAAGUUUAUUAUGAUUAAUAAUAAACUUAUUAAUAAGUCUCCUUUUUCCAUAUAUACCUUAGCAUUAGCAAUUAGUGGAAGACCAUGUAUGAUCGAUGUUAGGGAAUCAACAUGUUUUGAUCGUGUCCUAAUCUUCUAUGUUAUGCUACGAUUGCAUUACAUCCUCACAAGUCAUAAUAAAGAAAGAUCUAUGAUGAGUAUGAAGGCCUUAGGCAUUGUGUUAAACAUAUGGAAAUCAUGUAGAUUAAUUAAUUAUUUCAAGUUAUUUGUUUUUAAUGUAAUAUUGCUGUUUAUUAUAAAUUAAAACUUAUCAUUGAAACCAUCAAAGUCUCCCUUUUAUGAAAAUAUGAUAUAUUUUUUUAUAAAAAUGUUAUAAUUAAUUUAUAAUUAUAGCUAAAUUAAACUCUAUUUCAUACGAACCUACAAAAUAAACAUCAAUAUUGGAAAUGAAUUACAAAAUCAAAAUUUUACGUUAAACAUUCAUUAAAUUUGGUGUAUUAAAUAUUUAAUUUAAUUACUAACCACGAUCCAAACGAACUAAUUGUUAACAAUAAAAUAUGAAGCAUAAGUAUAUUAGUUGAAAUUUAUUGUCAUUACUUUUAUAACAAGUUAAAAUUUAUUAAGUUUGGAUGAUAUAUAUUUAUAUUUCUUUUUUUUUAAUUGAUCAAAUAACAUAUUAUAUAUUUAUGGAAAAGAAUAAUAUUGUGUUAUAUAUACAUUUUAUGUCAUAGUACCAACUUUUUAUCAUUUGAAUUUGUAAACAAUUAACUCGUUUUCAGAAAAAGCAUAUUUAAUAUAAGAAUAACUUCCCAUUCAAGGUUGCUUCUUUAAUAAUGUUUGUGGUUAAAUAUUGCAAUCAUAAUAUUAAUUCAUUAUAUUACAUGUUUACUUCUGAUUGUAUCUCCUCAUUAUUAUUGGCUGAAAUUUAAUUUUAAAUAUAUCACUUAAAAAUAGCUUCAAUAUAAAUUUUGUAGGUUGUUUUAUUUUCUGCUGAAAAUAUAUUAUCAAUAUUUAUUAAUUGUAUGUGUUCUUUUUUAAAGUGGACGUGGAAAAUUAUAUUGAAACUAUUGUUUAGUUUAACAAAAAAAAAAUGUCACAUAGUUAGAUUGAGAGGCUUGAAAUGACUUAGGUUCUAAUAGUCCUUGUUGUCCCGUUGUCAUUGUAUUGCACCCUAUGUUUGUAGGUUUAGACCACAUUUAAUAUGUUAAUAAUUAAUCAUCUUCUCCAAUUAUUACCAUAUUUAGGUUUUGUACCAAAACAUUUAUAAGUAUGUACAAUCAUAGACUUUACAAAUAAUACCGGUGAUGACGAGGAUAAGAAAAUUAAGUAAGUGAUCAUUCGGUCGUAUCCGAAAAUAAAUUAUACAAAAAAUGGACGUAAAAGAGACAACAACCAACGUUGUGCCGGUUAGAAAAAAAAAUGAAAAAUAAAUUAUUUAAAGUUCAAUUGUAUUUAGUUGAUAGGAUAAGUUUAUAUAUAUUGUCUAUUUGUUUAAUGUCAAACGAUCAAAUUAUCUCUUCGAUUAAAACAAUGUUUUUUCAAAUAUAAAAAAAAUCUAUUUCCACAAUAUGAAAAAAAUCACUAAGAAACAAAAUUAAUUACGCUUGAUUUAUAUAAAAUAUAAAUAUUUUAUAUAUUUUGGACAAAUUUCUUUUUAAAAAAUAACGUAUUAAUAGUUGAGUUAUGUCCAUAUCACUCAACAUUAGACAUGAAAUCAAACAUAACAAAUAUAUUAUAAAAAACAUAUAUACCUACAUAAUUGAAAAAAUUGUAGACUAAAUAUAUAAAGUGAUCGAUAGGCAAUAACCAAAUUGAAAAGCGGUUGAGAGAAUGCAUGCAUCCCUAUAAGAAAAAGUUAGUAUAUCAAAGACUAUAUAUACCGAUCAACGAAGCCCGUAAAUAUAUACCAAAAUCAUAAUAAAUAGUUGAGUUGUACUCUAUUCGACACAUUAUAACUUCAAAUGCUAAAAACAACCAUAACAACGUUGGUGUUACACGUAGCCAAGAUAAAGAAAAAAGGUAAGUAAUUUAAGAAAAGAAAAGAGUUAUAACCUCUAUGACUCGUAUGUUUAGAUGAACUAUACAUUUUCUACCAUGCAUUUGAGCGUGAUAGGCUCGACACCACACCAAUAUUAAACAUUCUUACACAUGCAAACCAGGAAAGCAAAAUGAGAUAGAGAGAAGAAUGGCAAAUCCAGGAGAGGAUUCCAACCACAACCAACACAAACGAGAUCCAAACGCCAACAAAUUUGAUUAAACUAUAAAUAAUCUAUUACAAACAUAUAAUUUAAAACUAAUCUCUCAUUCACAUUAUUCAUUUUACAUUUAAAUAAUUGAAAAAAUCUGAAUUUAAACAAUUGUUUAUUUUUUGUUGUUUUAAUAUUAAAGCAAACAAUAUUUAGGAAAGUUGACAGAUUGUGACAUCAUAAACUUUAAAAAAUAAAAAGAAUAGAAAAUAAAAAAGGGUAUUAUUGACAUAGGGGUUUGGGGUUGCUUCAACAAUAACCUUUACCUAGUUGGUAAAAAUACCUUACCCCUAAACCCUUUUGUCAAUUUCGUUAGGCUACCAAACCAAACCCACACCAAAUUUUAAAAUGAAAAAACCUUUGCAUCAAACCUUUCUUUUCUUUUUUUCUCUUUUCCCAUUUCUAAACGAACUAUCACAUGUCCCACUUUUUUUUUAAUUUCCUCUUCCUCUUUCUUUUUUUCCUAAUUUCUUACAUUCAAUUACACUUUAUUCCAUGGUUUUUAAAAUCAUAUAGUUGAAAUUUCAGGAUUACUCUUUUAUUCUAAAAUUUUAAUUUUGUUUCUAUUAAUUAACCAUUAAGAUUUUUUUUAUCUAUUAAACAUUUACCCAACACGCUAAUUAUGUAUUGUAAUUUAAAGAACACAUGUACACGUCAAGAGUUUGGGUGUAAUAAUCACUAAACACAACAGUUACCUAAACUAGCAUUAAUACAUAGUUCAAUAAAUAAUAAAUACAAAAUUCCUAGAAAAUAAUAAUAAUGUUAUGUUGCUAAGUUCAUAUUCUUUAUCACAUUUCCCUAAACAAUAUAAAAAGAAAUAAUUAAUUAUCUUUCUAGACCCCUUUUGGUUUCUUUUUGCAGUUAAACCCCUUCUCUUUUCUCCAUGCAUCCCAAUUUCCCACCUUUAUUUCUCUCUCUCCCUGUGAUCUCUAUAAAACCCCCUUCUCUCCUUAAACACAAUAUUCCUCCACACACCAAUAAACAACAAUGGCAUCAAAACCACUCCUCUUUUUCAUAUUACUAUCCCUUCCAAUCCUCCCAUUUCUUUCUUCUGCAACACCAAGUUUGGAUUCCCAUUCUUCUCCGGCGCCACCCACCCAUUUUUCAGGCGGAAGCUCCUCCCAUUACCACCGCCAUUUCUCUAAUUUACGCAAACUCAAAUCCUCCCUCUCUGUUCGCCACGAGUCCGCCCCCUCUGCCCCAAAUCCCAGUUUUAUAACGACAGUAAGUUAUUAUUGUUUUCUUGUGUUUAAUUAUAUUUUCAAAAUGUUGCACGUUUACCGAAUCAUUGGGUAAAAUGUGUUGACGUAAUUGAGGAUGUGCUGACUGCUUGGUGUAGCCACCAUCUGGCGCUCGUGUGUAUCACGUGACAUCGUAUGGAGCCGAUCCCACCGGAAAAACCGAUAGCACAGAUUCGCUUCUGAAGGCAUUUUCGGACGUUUACAAUUCUAACGGUGAAGGCUCGUUGAUGGAGGGCAUCAAGAAUCUAGGAGGCGUUCAGAUUAAUCUGGACGGUGGUAAUUUCAUGAUUAGUCGUCCUUUGCGCUUACCUGGUGUCGGUGUAGGCAAUGUCGUGGUACGCCUUCCCCCACUUGAUUACAUGAUUUUCACUUUUGUGCUAAUUUAUUUAUUAUUCUUAGAAAGAAAAGGGAAAAAGAAAGGUUGAAUUUAAUUGGAAAUUGAAAAGUGUUUAAUUAGGUGAAGUGAGCAGUGCAACUAAUUUUGGUAACGCCCGUUAGAAAUGGUAAGGAAGGUUGUUGGUGAAAAUUAUUAAGAGGGUCUUAAAAGUCAAUUCACUUACCCCUUCUCUCCCUGCAUGCUCCAAACUCCAAUUUUGGAGGGUCAUAAAAGUAUUUCUAUCCAAAUUAUUUUCUUUAUUUUCAUUCUUCUUCUUCUUAUUAUUAUUUUAAAUCAAUUUUAAUCUAAUCUUUUAUUUUUCACUCCCACUACAAUUUAAUGAUUUCAAUUUCAUAAUUUCUUUGGAGUCAAGUUUGUGUUUUCGAAUAUCAUUUUGUCCUUGCCAAAUCUAUACUAUAUUAUAAUGAAACAUAAGAAUUUAUGUAUUUUUUUAAAUUUAAAUUUAUAGAAGUUUUGGAUGGCGCGAUUUAAAUUAAGAAAUUAAAAAAAUAAAAUAUGGCACAUUCACAUCAAAUAAAAGAGGUGUCCAUUAUAUAUAAAUUUUAAUUAUAGAUGAAGACUCAGAUUUCAAACACUUAAUUGAAAAUGAAAUAAUAUUAAGGGUAUGGGUAGCUGUUUGAAAAUGGAAAGAAAAGCAUUACUUUUUUCAAACAAUGUGCUUUGUUUUUCUUGGUCUCAAUUAAUUAAUUUCCUACGGAAACGCAUUUCUGUUUCUUCAAAUCCAAAUCUUGCUUUCUUGAUUUCUCACAAAGUCAUCCAAAACAAUUAAUUAAGUUUUCUUUCUUUCUUUUUUGUUCUCCUUUUUUAAGUUUUCUUCCAAUUGGUGUAUUUAACUUGAUACCUUUUACGUCGUUUAUACCAAUUAUCUACCCCUCACAAUAUAAUAAGAGAAAAAUACAUUUUAUUUUGUAGUCAGAAUACUAAUGUUUAGCAUGAGUUUUGAAUACACAUCUUUAGUAGAAUAAAAAAGAUUAUUUACAUUUUCUAAAAUAUUUAUAAAUUUGUUUUUGUAAUUGAAAUGUCAUAUAAUUGUAUAAAAAAGCAAACAACGAUUUGUGUGUGUGGAUUAUAUAAAAGAUUAAUCACGUUUGUGUAUUUUAUAAUUGUAUUAUACACCCACAUGUGUAGUACUAAUGGAAUGAGUGGGAAGAAACGAUUUUUCAAAUCUUGGGAUUAUGAAAAAUAUCAAACAAAACGCCUUCACUCUCAUAUCUAUUUCAAAUCCAACCAACUCGUUUUUACAAUAUCAAAAUUAAUUUUCAGCAUGAUUAUUGAAAACACAAAAACAAAAAUCCAAAUUGGUGUUUGAGAUAUGGUUUUUGAAAUUUCAGAUACACGGAGGCAGUCUACGAGCUUCAGAUGAUUUUCCUUCGGAUGGAUACCUAAUCGAAUUAUCAUCGUCUUCCUCAGCCCCCAAGAACAGUUUUGAUAACCAAAAAACCAUCAACUCUUCAUCUCAAGAUGCGAUCCUUAUUUCUUCUCCUUCAUCCUAUAAUUACGAAUAUAUCUCUUUCAAAGACCUUCUCUUGGAUUCCAAUUUCAGAGGUGGCGGCAUUUCCGUCCUCAAUUCCUUAAGAAUAACCAUCGACAAUUGCUACAUUACUCAUUUCACCACCAUCGGUAUUUCUGUUCAAGGCGGUCACGAGACCUACAUCCGCUCCUCUUUCCUCGGCCAACACAUUACUGCCGGCGGUGAUCCAGGUGAACGAAACUUCUCCGGAACUGGAAUCAGUCUCCUUGGCAAUGACAACGCCGUCACUGACGUUGUCAUUUUCUCCGCUGCCACUGGAGUCCUCGUCCAAGGUCAAGCCAACGUUCUCACGGGCGUUCAUUGCUACAACAAGGCUACUGGAUUCGGGGGUACAGGAAUUUACUUGCAAUUACCAGGAUUAACGCAGACUAGAAUCUUGAAUUCGUACAUGGAUUACACCGGAAUCGUAGCGGAAGAUCCAGUUCAACUCCAGAUUGCCAACACAUUCUUCCUUGGCGACUCUUAUAUCACGCUGAAAUCAAUGAACGGCGUGGCGAGUGGAGUGAACAUCGUGGACAAUAUGUUCAGUGGAUCGGACAAAGGAGUGGCCAUCGUUCAACUGGACGAAUCCAAAUCGGCAUUCAAGCAAGUAGAUCAAGUGGUGGUAGAGAGAAACAACGUGAGAGGAAUGCAAGCGAAAUCAACGGUUGGAAGCGCAGAAUUGGAAGGAAACGGAACUUCAUGGGUUCUGGAUUUCAAUCCUGUUCUGUUGUUUCCAAAUCUCAUUAAGAACGUUCAGUACACGUUUCGAAGCAUUGACAACGGAUUUCCGAAGCAUAUAGUGAGAAAUGUAUCGGAUAAUCGGGUGGUGAUUGAGACGGACGUUGCGGUGGUGGGAAGCGUGUUUGCGAGGGUGGAUCAGGGGACGAGUUAGUUUAGACAAAGAAUGGUUAAAAAAGAAAAAGAAAAAGAAAAGUUAAUAAAUUAGAUUUUAUGAAUGAAAUAAAUUAUGAUUGAAUUUGACCACAGAAAGUGUAAGUAAGUAGAGUGAUUGGUAGUUUCAAAAUUGGGUGGAAGGAUGGAAAAGAAGGCAAUGUGAAAUGUUGGCUUUGUUCUCUGCUUUCGCAAAUGUUUUGUCAAGUCUGGAAGAACGAUAAAAACAAGACUUGCUUUUUCGUCUCGAACCAACUCAUCUUCUCUUUUUCCCUUUCUUUUUUUAACCCACGCCUGACGCCAACAUCACACACUCAAAUAAUAAUCAAUCAAGGCCGAGGCCAGCACCUUGGGCCGCUCAGCCCAAUUUCCUCUCUUCUUUUGGUCUCUUCCUUCUCGAGAGAGCCCGUUUCAUCACUCGAUGAUUCUUUGUAAGAAUGGUCCAUGACAAUCAAAAUAGAGGCACGUGGAAAAUUGAUUAAACUCUUGGGUGCUAAGAUGAAAGAAAGUGAGGGGACAAUGAGACUGUCUUUUCUCUUUAUAGUGCACAAACAAAAGACAACAAAGAGGUUGAUUCAUUUUUCGAAUAACCCCACUACCCCAUCACAUUCUCCCCCUCCCUCUUGCAUUCAACCCACCUAUCUCUCUGUCCACAAAUAUCUAAUUUUGAUCCUAUGCCCUUCUUCAAAUCUUAUGUUUCUUCAUCUUAACUUGUUUUGUAUGAGACUGUGUUUAUAUUGCUUUCUUCUCACCCAUUUCACCUAGUGGAGAAUGCUUGCUUCUUCGUUCAUGGAGCCCUCACCUUCUCCUUCCCUUAAUCCAUCCCCAAGCGUGUCUAUCACGGACCCUCACGAGCAUGUACUAGGUGGCAACUUCAACCUCAUUGUUCUCGUCGUUGCAAUUGUUUGCGCCGUUGUUUGCACGCUUGGUCUAAAUACCAUGCUGAUAUGUAUACUUCAAUGUGCGAAUCACUCUCUUAGACAAACAGUCCAAUGGGUGGCUUUAAGGGGACUGAACUCAGGCAUGAAGAAGCAAGACAUGGUUGCCCUCCCAACUUCAACUUACACCAACUCUGGAUCACCGAUUUCGCCUUCAUCUACUUCAGCCUGUGCUAUCUGCCUCAUCGACUUCUCAAACGGGGAUAAAGUACGAGUGCUGCCGAACUGUGCUCAUAGGUAUCAUGUCAGUUGCAUUGAUAAAUGGUUGCUGUCUCACUCUUCUUGCCCCACCUGCAGGCAUCAGCUCAAGUCCAAGGACUCUAUAGAUCACAUUGUGUAAUAAUGUCAAGUAAAAUUGAACAAGUGAAGAAGCAGUAGACUUAAAGUGAAUCAGGUAAGAAAUAAAAAUGAUUCCAAGAGUUGAGAUUGAUUGAUAAAAUUAGUUGAAGUGAGUAAGCAAUAAAACUAGAUUUUGGUGUUUCCUAUGCUUUUGAUUAUCUUCUUUUGAGUUGAAGAUAGAACUCUAUUGAUCAAGGCUAUAAAACUAGGUAACUGUAUAGAGUCGACACAUCCAUCGAUCAAGCUUCAAAAGCUAAAUAAAAGCUACUUUAGAAUUGUCUCCCUUUUGAGAAGAUAGAACAAAGCACUUUGAGUGGUUGGACUGUGACCCGUCUAGAAGUGGAAGAUACAGGAGAAUCAAUAUAUUAUUCUCCUUGAAGACACCUCCAUGGUUUCAAAAAAAUCAAGUCCUAAGUAGAAAAUUUAAAUCUGUUUUACAACUCCUUGAAUUUGAAAAUUUAUUUAUUUUUGUUCCAAUUGUUUACUCAAAUUGCAAACACCAAAAUUUUAAAAAUGACCUUUUCAGUUUUCAAAAGUUGGCUAAUUUAGCUAGGUUUUCAAAACAUAACCAUGCAAGAAAUGAGCUUAAUUUUUUAAAAAUUGAAACUUAAGAAGUAAAGUGUUUUUUACUGUGGAAGUAGAUCAUGCGUAUAAGAUAUGAAACCCGCUGAGUGCAAGUCAAGAAAUUAAAAUCUGAUUGCAAAGACAAUAAGGAACUUUAAAUUUGGAAACUGAUUAUUGGAUAAGGAAUUUUUCUUUAAAAAAAAAGGACUUGUAAAGGUAAUUACGAAUUUCCGCAUUCGCCACAAUCUGAAUUGCAACGCUACAAAAAGCAAUACGCACUGGGAGAUGCAGUCAAGUGUCCUAAACAGUGUAUUUACAAAUACAGAUAUUUUGUUCCUGUUACAAAAUACAAGAGAAGAGUUUCACAAUCUUAUCAGCAUCUAACGCUUGGAACUACGAAGAUAGAUGUAAUGAAUCCAUCUCAGCAAACACUUCAGCACUCAUUGAUUCUUUGAAAUUGAUCUAAAUCUCCUUGGGCAUAACUGUCAUUAACUGUCAAGCCAUCUCUUUCCUAUAUAAAUAUUUUGCUUCUCAGAAAAAGGAAGAUCAAUACCAACAAUCUGCCACAUCUUCUUGAUCCACGUUAGCCCGCUCAUUAGGCCGCUCUUUUGGGGGUCCAGAGGCUCUUGGAUAUCCUCCAAAGGAACCACUACCAGGUGUUGCAAUUUCCACAUAGAUCAUCCUUCCAUCAAAUAUCUGUCUCCCAGAAGAAACAACAUUAACUUUCAAGCAUGAUUUACCUUAUCUACAAAAGACAAAGCUAGGUGAAGUUUUUAACCUUGCAAUCCAUAGUUUCCAGAGCGAGCAUCGCAUCGUCUUGGCACGUGUAUUGAAUAAACGCGUAACCUUUUGGUCUUUUUGUUGAUCGAUCUUUUGCUAAUAACACUGCCAUGGGUUGAUAAGUGAAGCAACAAGAUUAAAAGGCUUAUUGGACUUGGUUGGAGAUUAGCCAACAAAAAAUGCAAUUACCUUCAGCAAUCUCACCAAAAUUCGAGAAUUCUUCUUGCAGUCGACUCUCAUUGGUGGAGUAUGGUAAAUCUGCAUAUAGUUUUUUAAUUAAUGGAAGCAGAGUUUGAGCAUUCAAAGGUGCUCAAGAAAAAGUAUUCCAUUGAUUUGAUAUUGCAAUAACCUCCUAUACAAGGCUUCUUAAAAUCUAGACAACUUCACAAGACAUCAAAAAAAAAAAAAAGCGAGAACAAGAAUAUAGCAGAAGAAAAUUCAUGAAGAAAAAGUUGCAUUCGGAAGGCAUAUGAAUUACAAGUGAACAAUGACCUCUUAAACUUCUCUCACAAAUUAUUGAAAAUCUGCUUUCCAAAAAUAAUAAAAAUAUUUUCAAUUAGUUUACUUCAGAAGACAGUUUGCAAAGGUUCUUUUGCUAUUGUAUUUGUUUUCUGUUGACUUUUUACUUUGACUAAUAUUAAGUUACACCAUGCUUAAACAGAACUCUGCACUCUAAAUAAAUUAUCAGUGUAAUGAAAACAGGAAAAGAUGAAAAUAAAAAUAGCUAACAGAUAGAAAACAGGGCAAUGCUACUUUGUUUCUUCUCUUCUCACCUGUCCUGAAUCAAUUAAAAUAAGUGAAGAACGUCACCAAUAGUUUUCCAUGAAAACCUCAAUAUGGAUAAGUACACUCCAAAUGUGACGAUGGUUGGGUUGGAUAGUUGGGUCAGGGUGAAAGUCAUUCAUAUUGCAGGAAAACACAUAACAACAAAAAAUGAGGAAAGGAAGUUGACUGGAAACUCCAAAAAAAGGCUAAUGGGAAGGUCUGGAUAAUUUUCAUAGAUAUACACCAAGAGCCACAGUUCACCUUAACUUUUUUUUUUUUUUCACUUCAAAUAAAUUAUUAAUCCUUUAUGUCCGUAUUCUUAAAAGUAAGGAGAAAAAGAGCUGUGUCGAAACUCACAUAAUUAUCAAUACAUGAGUUCCCGUACUCCAUAAAUGCUUUAUUAUCCACUCCACAUCACUUGCAUUAAGCAUCAUUAUCAUUAUGUUAGUGGACAUCUAAGGUGUCAACAUUAUUAUGCUUUUACUUCCUAAUCCCAUUUUCAGGAAUCAAAUUGGACCAAAUUGAUAUGUGUCACCUUAAUGGAAAGUAUAAUAAUUUUUUUUUUAAAAAAAACUAUCCUUCUAGCUUCUAAAUCUAUUUAACUAAAAGUUCAGUGAGCCAAAUAAGCCAUAAAAUAUGCUAAGAAUCUAAAGGCAUUAAAAUUUCCAUUAGCAAGAUAAUCAAGUCUGUAUCUCUAGUCACCUACACACAGAAAAUGUAAGAAAAGUUUCAAUCUAAAUCAAUUCAACAAAAGAUUUUAUUUUAACAUUGUCACCAGGUUUUGUUUUAACAUUGUCCCCAAUUUAUAUACAGUUCAUUUUUCUUUUAAACAGGCGCAUGGUCGAAGUCCUGGGCUUCUCUCACUGCUAGGUAGUUUACAGUUUCAUAAACAAUUUCACUUACUGAUUGGUUCAUUAAUUUAGAUUCAAGAACUUUCUUGGAGUUUUCCCUUUCUUGGGGAGGGGGAUAAUUUAUCACCCCCACCUUUUUACGUGUAGGGUCAAUUUCUUUCUUACAACUCCAUAAACAAUACUUAACAAACUUGGGAAAUUUUCAAUUCAAUGGCAAUGAAUAUCUAACUUUCUAGGUUGUUUACAAUGAACGCUGCAGAACUUUCAUGGUGCCUUCUAUGCUUCCGUACAAAUUUCAUCAUUGCUAAUAAUAAACAAACCAAACUGAGACAACGGCGUAAACUUUCAGCAGAAGAAAGCCUUGAAAAAUAAACCAAAACCACAAAAAUAGCAUAAAUAACAACAAUAGGGCAAAAUCAAGAAGAAUCAAGAUAGCAACCAAAAAAGCUAAAAUAAAAGGAAAGGAACAGGAAAACCCUAAGAGGAGAAACAGAAAAACUGAAAUAACAGCAAAUACGACAAAUUGGGGGGAAAUUCGAAAUGGGAAAUCAAGAAAAUCACAUGAAACGAAAGGAAGAGGGAAGUGAAUUUACUUCUAACCAUGAGUCUACUGGCAAGAGGAUAAUCAAAGAAAGAAGCUCGAAGAUUCAGAGAUAUGCGAUUGGAAGCGACAAGUCGAUUAUUCGGAAAAAUGGGUCCCCGAAGAUUUGAAACUGAAGGGAAGGAGACGGUGGUCGCCCACAUAUUGGCGCUCAAAUCUGCUCAGUCCACGCCCUGGAGCUUCGUUCGUUCGAUCGAUCGCACCUCAAAACCCGAAUUCGCGGCUUCUUAUUUUCAUAACACCGAACAGUUUUAAUUUUGGGAAAAACUACUUCUGCUUUUGGUUCCUAAAUUUUAAAAAUAUACAUUUUUAAUCUUAAUAGAUUAAAUUAUACAACUAUCUCAAAAUUUCUCACUAAUAUUGUAUAAUUUUAACUUAACUUAAAACAGUAGUCAUUUGAUGCAUGUUAUAAAUUAUUGGUUAUAGAAGGAGAUUCUCGUGUUGAUAAGAUACGAAAAAAAUAAAAAACUAAAGAAAUAGACGUUAGUGACAAUAACCUAAAUGAUUUUGGUUUGGCCUAAGUGGUAGGGGUAGUAAUAAGUAAUGUAAGCCGUAAGGGGUAGAUAUGUAGUGUAGGAGCCAAAGUAGCUCAAUCUCACCCCAUCAUCCUUCAAAAUUAUCAUCAUUAUGCCUCAUAAAUGUGAAUUUAUUUUAUAUUAAAUAACAUUUAUUAACCUAUAAAACUAUAACAUUCUAAAUCAACUCAUCCUUAGAUAUAAAUAUUUUCACUCAUGUCAACAACACAAACUAAUAUACAUAAAUAUUUUGUGUGUUUUAAUUUACACGUCAAAUUGAAAAUAUAUAUAUAUAUAUAUAUUUCAAAUAAGGUUGGUAGUCAUAUGCUAAAAAUUACUAUACAAUACAUUUUAUCUUCAAACAUAUGAUAUUUUUAAAUAAUUGAUUCACUCAAAUAAAGAUUAUGUACUCUUUAGCCUAUCUUCCUAGGUUAUGGCAGCAAAAACACUUAUGAUUUAUAAAUAAAUUAAUUUAAGUUACGAUCGUCAUUUGUACUAUAUAUAUAUAUAUGCGUCAUUGUGAUUCUAACAUAAUCAUAUCUUAUAUACAGUGGCUAAAAUCAAUUUCUCAAUAGGAAAAAAGAAAAAGAAAACUAAAAUGGAUAUGUAGAGCCAAAAAUUGAGAUAAUGUUAGAAAAAGGUUUUGGUAUUCAAAGGGUUGACUGAAAAUCAAACAAAAUUAGUUUACCAUUGACUGAGACAAAAUGAAUUUAUUAUAGAAAAAGAGAAUGGAGAAAAUGGCCCUUCAUUCUUUCUUAUCAGUAUGUCCUCUUCAUUUCAUCACUCCAUUCAAGUCAAACACUUAGACACCACAUGACUCCUUUAAUAGUGUGUUGCUGCAAGCAAUACUCUUAAAUUAAUAUUAUCAAUUCAUAUCACUGUUGGAAUCUACUGAGUUUGUUAUUUGUAAUUUGUAUUCAACAUAACAUGUGUAAUUAAUGUUUACGAUUAUGAUAGAAAGAUUCAAAGACGUAACAAUAUUUGAUAAUAUUGUUUUCACUUAGCUAACAUAUUAUUAGUAUAGUAAGUAUAAGGGUUGGGUUAUUAAAAAUAGUGUAAUUAAUUUAUUAUUGUUGUGUUUUUUUUGUCUCUAUUAAUUAAACAGUGAUGCAGUUAGUUUAUUGUUGCUGGUUCCAUGUAUGUCUGUUGAAGUUAAAAAGAACCAUUACAAAUAGUAUUUUAAGCUUUAAACAUUGGUUAAAAUGUUAGAGGAGAAAAGAGAGAAGAUAAAUAUGGAGGGAGAGAAAAGUGUAGAAAAUAAUGGUAUAGAAGAAAGUAUUUUACAUUGUACAAUAAAAUCCUACCUGAUUAAAUCAGGAAUUAGUUGUGAAAUUGGGGUCAAAGACCUCAUAAAUGAUAUAUUUGAUUUAAUGGUUUUUUGGAAGACUUCAACAAACCUGCACCAAGAAUAAUGUUCACAUUGCAAGUAAAGCAAAAACUAAUUAACUUCCAAUUUUCAUUUGAGAAUUAAAUAAUCUAUUCACUAAUCUGAUGUAUUACAAAAUUGACAGAAAAAACAAACAAAAGAGAUGAUUAAAUAAAAUAAAAUAAAAUAAAUUUGGACAAAGAGCAUGCAGCUACAUACUGUUUGAUUAGCAUUUGAAGUAGUAGCUAGUGUUGUUCAUGUUCAUAUUAUUACAACAAAUUGCAUUUUAAUUAAUUUAAUUAUGAGAUUAAUUAAUCUUAUCUGUUCAAUGGAAGUAUCCACCGCCGUAAUUCCCAUUCCCACUUGAAGAACAAAACUCCAUCCCCAAUUCCUGCAGAUCGUAACUCAAAUCCUCGUCAAUCAGAUUUUGAAUUUCCAUCAAUUGAUCCGCCGCCCCCGCCACUGAAAACCCAUUACUUUCCACCGGGACAGGGAACCGGUGCUCCGGCGUCGCCUGCUGUCGGCGCUGAAGAAGGCCGCCGUCGGAGAACGGGAGCAUAACAGAAGGGUGGUUGUUAUGAAGGUGAUCAUCUCCACCCUGGCCGAAGCUAAGGUUGACCGGACCCUUAUGGCUGCCCAAAGGCAUGGAGGCACCGGCGGCAUGAAACCCAGUGAACUGCUGCACCAAGUCCCUGAAGUUGGAGGUGCUGGCGUUGAGGAGAGUUGUCGGGGCUUUCCGGGAAGCCCGGGAUCGGCGCCGGGGCUUGGAAAUGGAGUUGGAGUUGUUAGUGUUGGGGCCGUGGUGGGCGACGGCGGAAGAGGUGGAGACACCACCGUGGGAGUGGUGGCCGUAGAACUGGGUGGCCCAUUGAUCGCUGGUGAUAGACAUAUGUGUAAGUAAGUAAUUAAAUUAAGAAGUUAAAAAUGGAGGAGAGAGCGAAUAGUGUUGUGGUGAUGGGAGG
rnacentral:lncRNA from 1 species